rnacentral:lncRNA from 1 species
GUUUACUCACUGAGGCUGUUUGUUUCUCCAGCAAUCCGUUGGUGAGUGGCUGUUCCCCAUUCUCCCUUGAGCUUAGGUUUGAAUUCUCAAAAAUUGGGGCUUCCCACCUCUCUCAAAAAGCUCAACAACUUAGCCCUGUACCCCUGGCUGUCCUCCUUCCUUAAAAAAAGUUCAACAACUUUGACCUGAACCCCCCAAAAGGGGGUAGAUCACUGCCAGUUUUUAAUUCUGUCUCUUGGGAGUUGGCCACCCCUGCUCUAUACAAUCUGGAUAAAAUACGGUCUUUAAGCAUAGAGGUUAAGAAGGAAUUAGAUGUUGUUGCGUGUCGAGUUCCCCAAGACACCCCCACCCCAAUAACACACACUUCACACAGAAUUUUUGUUUAAGGUUUUUGGCAUAAUUUUGGCCACAACUUUAUUAACAUACAUGGAUGUGAGUGAGUGGUUGCUUAGGCAUUGGUUAGGACUAUCUGUCCCCCCGCCUGGGGACAGAACUGACCUCUGGAUUCCAGCAAAAGUCAGUGAGGGGAAACAAUGUUGGGGAGAACUGGAGCUACGCCACAGGCCUCAGCUUCUCCCCGCAUGCUCCCAGGGGCUUAAGCAGCCCAAACCCGAUUCCAGGGGUUUGGACGAAAGGAUGGCAAGCCCCUGAAUUCCUUUAAUGGAAUUCCCUUGCAGCAGCAACAUUGGAGGGGCAGGCCCAGCCAAUCCUUACCCCACCUCCAACCAAUUUUAACCAAUGCCUAACCGCAACCUUACAAGUUGUGACGAUUUGCUACGCAGUCGGCAAAAACCAAAUGGCCUCAGCCAAUCAGCCAAAUGGACAAAAUUCCUACCAGGCCCCUGCCCCAACGGCAGACGACCCCAUGACAGGCAUAGCAAGGUCAACGCACAAGACCCAAAUUAAGGGAGGGAGGGCGGAUGAUCCGGUACACGCAGUGAAAGAGAAAGCAGAUCGCUGUGAGCACUGUUUAAAAAAUCUCUGUUCCCACCCCCAAACUGGCAACAUCAAAAUUACCCCAGCAACUCAGGCUACCAAUCCCUGCCAGAGGCAUCCCAUCCCAAACUGCCUGGCAACAGAAGGGUGUCUUGGCUGCCCCCACUGCAACACAUGCUCUCUUUUAAUGAGAACACACUUUCUAAAAUGGACUUUCAGCCAGGCCUUGAUUGUGGAGAGCCAUGCUUUGGUUUUCUGUCAGAUGUUGACCAGAUUCAGCACAUAAGGUUAAAUAAUUUACGCAUUUAGGGGCACCAAGGAUUUUAUGAAGAAAGGUUGCUUGAAUUUGUUCAACUUCUCUAUUAAAUGCUUGUAUCCAAAUUGGAAUACCACAUGUUUGAGUGCACACAUUUUAAAACACAACUAUCACUGGCGUGCUGAUGUCACUCGCACAUGGCACACGGCGUCACCUCCCUCAAUUGUGGGGGCCAGGCAAUGCGCUUGUUGGUGGGAAAGAAUUGUUAUCUCCUUCGCUUACAUAUGAAAAGAAGGGAGUCCAGGUUUCAGCAAAGGUAUCUCUCUUGGUAACCAUUUUUGCUUCUCUUCUAAGUUGAAUUGGUCACUCCAAGAUAGCCACAUUGCAAUUUUAUUAUUUUUCCUGGCUCAUGCCUGUUUUAUUUAUUUUUUACCAAAAAAAAAUGUAUUCAGUUUUACUCUAUACAUUUAAAUUCAAACAUUAAUCAUCAUCAUCAACAUUCAGAAUUCCUGAAACCUUGAACUUUCCUCCACCCCUCCAUGGUUUCCAUUAUCAAACUUUUUCCACUGCAUCAUAUAUUUUCUCUGCUUUCUUGAAAUAAUCCCUUUCCUCCUUAGUUUUUAAUACAUUACAAGCGUUACUCAAAUCCCACCAAAGCUUUUAGUUGUUUACGGUGUUCUCUUAAGUAAAUUGUAAAUUUUCCCCAUUCCUUAUUAAAGUUUCUAUCUUCUUGGUUUCUGAUUUUUCUGGUCAUUUUCGCCAUUUUGGCAUAGUCCAUCAUCUUCAUCAGCCAUUCGUCUCUGGUCGGGACUUUAUCUUCUUUCCGUCUCUGGGCCAUUAGUAUCCAUGCUGCUGUCAUCGCAUACAUAAACAAUCAUUUCUGCUCGUUUAGUAUCUCUGCAUCUAAAAUUCCUAGUAAAAAAAGCUGGUUUUUUCACAAAAGUUAUGUUAAACAUUUUUUUCAACUCAUUGUAUAUCAUUUCCCAGAAUGCACAUUCAAAAUACUUUUGAACCAUACCUUGAGAGGUAGCUCAGCCCGAGAUUUCCAAAAUCAACAGAAUGUUUAUCGAGAAAAGUUACACGAUUCGACAUGACAGUGUUUUCAAAGGAAGUCAAGCAGAAUUUGGCAACAGUAAGGCUUCCGGUUUCAGCUGCAAACUUCCUAUUUUAGAGAAACGUUCUCCAUUCUGCUGCUAAAACAUGAUGCCGUUUAAAAGGUCUGGGGGUGGUGGUAAGAAAAUAGAUGUCACGAUGUUUUCGUGGUUUUGGUUUUUUAAAAAAAUGCAACCUCCCACGUUCUUUCACUUUGGUUUAAAUCCUUCUUUUUGUGUGUCAAGCCUUUAUUUAGUUUCACAGUUCAUGCCUUUCAUGUUGUCGCAAACCUUUACCGAAGAAGGUGAGGCCCCUUCUUUUUCUUCCCCUCUGAACAACUCUUUCCUGCUGUUUUACAUCACAGCUGCUACUUGCUGGUGGUCUCUGCUGCUCUUCCCUGUAUCUCUGCACCCAUAGCUGCAGACAAAGUCAGAAGAAGAAAGGAGAAAAAUUAAUGGCAUUCCUUUUAGUAGCACUUGCAACACUGGGAGAAGUUAGUUUGUAAUUAGAGCGCUGGAAAGAGAGGAUUGGCAGUGGCUGUUCAGCAAUAUCUGGAAGAAACACAGACAGAACACAGGAAGAAUUGGGGGGAAAGGGCAUUCCUGACAUUUCACCCACUUCUCAGAAUGGCUAGUUGUUCUGUGGGUAGCGCUUACCCAGUUAUAGCUUCCUCUUGGAAGAGAAAUCACAGGAAAGCGAUGGUGUUGGGGGUGGCAGUACUGUUUGUAAUAUUGGGUUUAUUAUUACCACUAAUAAUAAUAAUAAUAAUAAUAAUAAUAAUAUUUUUUAAAUUUAUACCCCGCCCAUCUGGCUGGGUUGCUUCAGCCACUCUGGGCGGCUUUCAACACUCACAAAAAAUAACAAUAAAACAUCAGACAUUAACAGUAACAUUCUGAUCCUAUAUAAAAAGUCACUUUAAAAUAGACAACUUAUCUCAAAUAAAGCAAUAUGCAAUGAUCCUUUAGAAUCCAAUAGUAAACACUAAAAUUAAACAUCAGCAAGCAAUAAACAGUUUACACUUAUCAAUUAUAAUAAAUAAUUACUCAUCUGUAAUCGAUAAAAAGAGCAGCAAAUCACAAUGCAUAAAAGACCACAAGUCAUACAAAGCCAUGUAAAAGGAUUAAAUUGAGAAACAAGGACACAUCACUUAUAAAAUAAUUUUUAAAAAACUGUCGCUGAACUCCUCUCUUCCCAGCUGCUUCUGCUAUUCUCAAAGUCAUGGUCUGGGAAAGGCUCCCGGAGCUGGAGGGUAGGGCAUGGAAAAAGCCAUUGCCUGAUGAGCAGCAGGGUUGACGAGAGUGUCCAUCCAGCGACAUGGUGCCUUCUGGAGAUUGUUGUACCAUUGCCUGCAUUACCACUCCAUGCAAGCCCUAAUCACCUGGAUAACUCAGUUGAUUUGAGUGUGGUGCUGAUAAUGCCAAGGUUGCAGGUUCAAUCCCUGUAUGGGACAGUUGCAUAUUCCUAUAUUGCAGGGGGUCACUUCCAACUCUGCAAUUCUAUGAUUCUGUGAUCAGCUGCCCCUUCAUGGAUCACUGCCUUGCCAUGGCGAAGGGGCUUGAAAAAACUCCAAGAAGCUUUGAGCUAUACCAUGCAGGGCCACCCAAGAUGGACAGGUCAUAGCCGAAAGUUUAGACUAAAUGUGAUCCACCAGGAGAAGGAACUGGAAAACCACUCCAGUAUUUUGCCAAGAAAACUCAAUGGACAUAAAAAAGGAGGAGCUUUGAGAAGAAAGUGAGAGUUUCCAAGGCAUGCUCUGGUUCAUGGGGUCACGGAGAGUCGAACACGACUAAGACGACUAAACAACAACAACAUGAUCAGCUGCAAUAUGUGGUGCCUUUACCUGCAGAUUGCAAAUUCUGCAGGCAAAAACAGGUCAUCUCACAUCACCUGUCAAACCUGGCCCACAGUGGGUGGGGGAGAUAAGGAUCUGCCCCACUGCCUGGAUCCAGUUUCCCAGCCCUGAUUUACAAAGCUAUAGGUAGACAACAGUUGGAGGCAAAGAGUUUAAUCAUUCAUCCAUGCAGCAAAGCCCUUGCCCUACAUCAGAACCCUGGUUGCACCCUGAAAUAUGCUUCCAGUUCCAAAUCUGUCUCUGUGGAGUGACUAUUCUUAUCAUAGGCACCAUCUGGGUCACCAGGGAGACCAAGGGCCCCCAAAAAAAAUUCAAGUAGGGAGCCGCCCCCAAAUGCAGAGGCUGUGUACGCACACUGCAUGAUGUACUUACCUUAAUCGCACAACGCAUGUGGCUUGCCUGUCUCACUCACACAUGCCCUGCGGCAUGCAUGUGAUACGUUAGUAUGUCAUGUGACAUGUGUGCACAGUGUCAGCACAUCAUGUGAUGUGUGUGCAUGACAUCAGUUGUGGGGACAAGGCAGCACACUUGAUCCCUAUCCAUUCCAAAAACUAUAUUUGCCUUUACAGACACAAAUUAACUCCCUCCUCUUACAUGGGGACUGGGAUGAGGAUGCGUCUUCUCCCCAUAGCCUCUCCUUGCAUUCCAAUUAUUUCCAAGUUCUUCCAGGCCUUUGACCUGAAAUUUCCCUAAUGAGGCAUGGCUGGUACAGUCUGGCCACUGACCUUUAAAGAACAUCCGCCAAGCCUUCUGGUCCAUUCCUCUUUUGUCCAAUUCCAAAUUCAUUCAUGGCAAUGAAACAGAUAUCUCAGUCACAGUGCUGCUUAGCACAUAAGAAGCUGUUGCUUCAGACAGCAUCUAUGGGGCAAGAGUACAAGAAAGUGUUCCAUUCUACAACCCACCUCCUCCCCAGGCGAAAUGCAGAUAUGCCACACAACAUCUGUCACCCAAGCCACUUGUAGCAUCAAUGCCUUCAUUUGGUCAGCUUGGACACCUUUCUUCCAAACAUAUAUAAAAAGAUAAUGAAAUUUAAAAACAUAAUAAAGCACUAAACAUUAAAAACUUUCCUAUACAGGAUUGUGUUCAGAUGGCUCAGGGGUCAGAUAACUCCAUACCCUCCAACAUUUCUCCAAUGAAAAUAGGGACAUCCUAAGGAAAAGUGAGACAAUCCAGGAUCAAAUCAGAAAUUGGGAUGGCUUCUCUAAAUCGGGGAUGUCCCUAAAAAAUAGGGAGACUUGGAGGGUCUGAAAUUCUUUGGACCUGCUUUGGUGUCCAGGUCCAUUGUGAAUUGGAAACUGUCAUUAUCUCAAAAACUACAUGAACUACAGAGUGGAACUGGCAGGUUAUAUCCCAUCCCUAUUUUCAACCAAGGCAACAAAACCCAUCCCAUAACAUAGCAAAAGACGAACCAUGAUUUCUGGUCAGACUCCCUUAGAGCUGGUUCUGGUAACACAGCAUUGAUUGACUUGUUGAAAAACACACAAGAGAGUUGCUUGCAAGAGUGUCAAAACACAGAUGUCACAAACUCAAAGUCAUAGCUCCUCUUCUGUGAAAAGAAGAGCAAAAGAAAUGUUUGUUUUAUUUGUUUAUUUAUUAUAAGCCAUUUUAUGCAACCUUUCACUGAUAUUCCCAGGAAGAUUUGUUAUUUGACAUUGCCCCCACCAAAAUAAUAAUAAAAUAAAUGAAUCCUUUGAGAGGCACAUUAGGUAGCUGUUUCUACGCCAGUCACUUGAGCCAGCACACAUGCAUGGGGAUGAUUCCCAGGUAGGUCUGAGUGCGGCUGACUACCGCAAAGCAAGAAUCAAAAUCUGGUUCUCUUAGGCCCCAAGACCAUUGCUAUUGCCUUAAAGCAGGCAUAGACAACCUUGGCCCUCCAGAUAUUUUGGGACUACAACUCCCAUGAUCCCUAGCUAACAGGACCAGUGGUCAGGGAUGAUGGGAAUUGUAGUCCCAAAACAUCUGGAGGGCCGAGUCUGCCUGUGCCUGCCUUAAACCAAGCUGGCUUUCUGUCCUUCCAAAUGUGUCCUUUAAAUCAGCUCCAGUUUGCAUCAUCUGCAGUCAAUCAUCCGGCAUGUAAUUCAUCCCUUUGGUAUUCUAAAAGGUCUACUUUUAGAAAAGAUGGUUUCGAUCCGAAACUCUUACAAUCAGUCAUUUCUUAUAACGUACUUGGUUUUAAACUGGUGUGUGCAUAGGGAGUUGGGAGUGGUCUGUUAAUCUUGGGUGGUCUCUCUCUCUCUCUUUCUCUCUUUUAAGCCAAGGUCUGAUUAAGUGUCUUUUCUCAACAGGUGACUCUUUUUAAAUUGUUUUCUUACGGCAACCCAUUUAUUCCAUGGCCUUUGUUCAGCAAGACUUGCUUUUCAAAGUUAACGAUCAUGUGUGACAACAUGCUGAGUACAGAUGGCAAACGACAAGUUUUAAGAAUGUGGGUAUUAUGUAACCUGUGCAGGAAGGUAUACAUUUAAUUUUGCUAAUUAAUGCACACGGAAUGUCUCUGCCCUGCUUUAUUUACUUGAAUAUUCCCACUGAGGAUAUGAUUCCUGACUACUUCAGUGUUUGUUACCUUGUAUUAAAGGGUAACAUGACAGAGAGAAUUGAUAAUAAAUGGCACAUUGGAUACAGGGUAUCUAUUAAAACUCAAUUAUCUUUAAGUUCCUGGGGUUGAUUCAAUUAUUCAAGUGCUGCACUGACACUAUCAGAAAUCCUAAUAUAACCAGGCAUUAUUGGAUCAGAAGUGAAUUCUUGUUUACCUCAGUAUCCGUAUUCCCAGGGAUCAUUCAUUUAUUAACAAAAUGUAUAUCCCACUUGCUCAACAGAAGGUAAGUUUAUAAAGAAGACUCUAAAAUAUUUUUUUAAAAAAACCAACACCCUUUUUCCAAUACUUUUCAGAUUAUGUAGAACAGCAAUAUUUUCUUAGCAUAGAAAAUAUGAAACUGUAAGAAAGGGAAACAAAUUAUUGAUUAAUUAGUUCCAUUUAUGGAUUGCUUCUCUUGCAAUAUCUCAAAGCGAUUCACAAUAAAAUGAUUAAAUCAAUUCUAUAUGUAAAAAGAAUUGAAACCAAUUGCCUAUAUAAAAGCAAUUCCAUGUAUUGGGGGGGGGGUCUGAAAUCCAAUACAACUAUAGACUAUUUUUUAAAAAAUACCUAAAAGGCUUGUUCAAAAAUGAAGGUCUUCAACAGGAAGCUGACUGAGUAGGGUUGACAGCCCCUAGUUUGCACAGAACGUUAAAAAAUUCAGGUGUUUUGGGAUUUAAUCAGCAAUACAAUGAAUUAAAUGAGAGGUUGUUCCUCAUCUCUGGAAUCAAAAACUUUGCUAGAAAUAGACCUGAACAUAAUAGUUAACCUGUUAACAGCUGCAAAAAUCUGCAGAGCUAAACACUGGAAGAAAAGCAACCCCCAAACAACAGCAGACUGGUUCGAUAAAAUUUGAUCGAUUAUAAUAAUGAUUAAAAUGCAUACUUCAGAAAGGCUUCAGCUGAAGCUGGUUCCCUCUUGGAAACACACAGAGCAUAAAAAUGAUAGUCGUGCUCCUUUUGCUCAUAAUCACCAUCAAGUACCGUAUUUUUUGCUCUAUAGGAUGCACCAGGCCACAAGACGCACCUAGUUUUUGGAGGAGGAAAACAAGAAAAAAAAUAUUCUGAAUCUCAGAAGCCAGAACAGCAAGAGAGAUCGCUGCACAGUGAAAUCAGCAAUCCCUCUCACUGUUCUGGCUUCUGGGAUAGCUGCGCAGCCUGCAUUCGCUCCAUAAGACGCACACACAUUUCCCCUUACUUUUUAGGAGGGAAAAAGUGAGUCUUAUAGAGCAAAAAAUAUGGUAUUUAAAGCAGGCAUGGAAUACUCUCCCAUAUUUCUCCAACGAAAAUAGAGACGUCCUAUUUAAUAAUUAUCCUCUGCCCAUCUGACUGGGUUGCCCCAGCCACUCUGGGUGGCUUCCAAUAUAUAUAAAAACAAAACACUAAACAUAUUUUUUCAAAAAACUUCCUCAUAUAGGGCUGCCUUCAGGUGUCUUCUAAGGGUUGUAUAGUUACUCAUCUCUUUGGCUAGGGGUCGCAUAACUCCAGACCCUUCAACAUUUCUCUAAUGAAAAUAGGGACGUCCUGAGGAAAAGUGGGACAUUCCACGAUCAAUUCAGAAACCGUGACGGCUUCUGCAAAUCAGGGACUGUCCCUGGAAAAUAGGGAUACUUGGAAGUUCUGAUAUGGUGGGGGUUUUUCAGAUUCCCUUCUGGGCAACCCUGCAGGAGCCACUUGGUGGGCAGGGCAGAGGCAAAAGUGGGUGGAUCAAUAAAUCUGAAAGUUACCUUUAUACAGUAGGCUAGUGUCUACAAACGCUCCUCUCUAUCUUCCAUUCUGGCAAGCAAGGAUCAUUAUCAGAGUUUGAGGGCAAAUUCCGGCCAAGCAAAAAUGCAAGGAAGGUGUGAAGCCAGCGUAGUGAGAGGUGUGGCCUGGGGACAAUCUCAAGGACCAGAUAAAGGAGCUUGGGUGGAUGUAUUUUGCCCUCAGGACAGAGGUUCCCCUCCCCUGAUAUAGAUGUACAGUGGUACCUCAGGUUACAGACGCUUCAGGUUACAGAUACUUCAGGUUACAGACUCUUCUAACCCAGAAAUAGUACCUCGGGUUAAGAACUUUGCUUCAGGGUGAGAACAGAAAUUGCACGGCGACAGUGGGAGGCCCCAUUAGCUAAAGUGGUACCUCAAAUUAAGAACAGUUUCAGGUUAAGAACGGAUCUCCAGAAUGAAUUAAGUUAUUAACCCAAGCUACCACUGUAUAUUGCCUCCAAACAUUGCUCUGAAUUGUGUUCUUACUGAUUUGCCGCUUUGGAAACUGACAACCAACCUUUGACAGGCUGAAUGUGGACGUAGUUAUUUCAAAAAAAAAUUAAUAUUGUUCACAUUUUCUGGACCAUGUGAGAUAUUUUUUCAGCAGAAAGGUCUAUGCCUUGGGAGGGAGCUCCUUGUUUUGUUAAUGUUUACAGAAGAAACAAUAUUAAUUUAUAGAUCAGACCUAGUAUUUCUGAGCUCCUGAGUUCCUAUAACUUUAUAAAUGAUCCCCCUGGCAUGGCAAGUUUCACAUGAGAAAUCAACUCCCAUGAGCCCCUUCUUGAGGUUAUUCACAAACAACUCCAUGCUCUUAGUAGUCAGCCAAAUAAGCAUGAGAAAAUAAUAAAUAUGGAAAUAAAUUUAAUCUCUCUCUCUCUCUAUGUGUGUGUGUAUAUAUAGAUACCUUAUGGAGCAGGGAGCAACUAUCCAUUAAGGAGGGCUAGAUACCAUACAUUAAUAGCAAUCAGACCUUCAACUACUUGUUUUAUAUUUCUGCAGCUGUAUGUCUUUUGAGUAUAAUUUGAACUUCCUGAGAUGGUAGGACUUCCUUUUUCUGCUGAUGGGGCAAAUCAAAUGCAAAGGAUUUGUGUUCUUGUGUGUUUUGUUUGAUUCUUUAAGUCCCUGAAAUGUCAACACCACUUAGGACAAAUGUCAAGCAUUCAGAAUUCAUGUAGUCCUACAGCUGCAUAAAACUAUGAGCUGUUGAAGGACCAUAAAAUGUGUCACUGGGUGUUGGCUAACAAUUUGCAGGUGCAUAUCGUCCCAGGAAACCUUUCCAAUCAUGUGAAAUUUAUAGGCUAUGUCUGAAGCCCACAGUGGAUUCAUCCAAGCAAUUACUGUUCUAUGUUUUUAUGGGUCUUGUUAAAAUUGAGUAGAAAGAAGAAAUGGCAAUCUACUAUAUAUUUUGGAAAGUGAUUUGUCUGUCUGAUCUCUAUGGGUUCGGACGCCAUUCAGCAUAUCAUCACCCAGUUGGCAUCAGGGUUCCUGCAGUAGAGGAGGUCUUUGUCUGCAUUUGAAUGUUGGACACCAUUUUUAAUCAAAACGACAGACCAAAACAUGACUUCACCCAAUUUGGUGUGAUGGUUCAAAACUGGACUGAUUUGGAUGCCUCUAAAGCUAUUGUCACCCAAUCUGCUAUUACAUCACCCAAACCAUAAUAAAAGAAUGUAAAUAUCAAUGAUGAUGAUGAUGAUUAAUUUACACCCUGCCUAUCUGACUAGGUUGCCCCAGCCACUCUGAGCAGCUUCCAACAUAUAUAAAAACAUAAGGUAAUGGAAAAGGACCCCUGGACGGUUAAGUCAAAGGCGACAAUGGGGUUGUAGCACUCAUCUCGCUUUCAGGCCGUGGGCGUCAGUGGUUUAGACCACAACACCACCCGCUCCCUAUAAAAACGUAUGUAUAAUAAAAGUAUAUAAAAACAUAGUAAAAGGUUAAAUCUUAAAAAGCUUCCCUAUACAGGGCUACCUUCAGAUGUUUCCUAAAUGUUAUAUAAUUCUAUAUAAUUACUCAUCUCCUUAACAACUGAUAGGAGGGCAUUCCACAGGGUGGGCACUACUGUUGAGAAGGCCCUCUGCCUGGUUUCCUGUAGCUUCACUUCUCAGUGAGGGAACCACCCUUGGUGCUGGAUCUCAGUGUCGGGGCUGAGUGAUGGGGUGAAGACGCUCCUUCUUGUUUACAGGAUCAGUGAAUAAUAAUAAUAAUAAUAAUAAUAAUAAUAAUAAUAAUAACCUUUAGCAAAGCUCACCAUAUAAAACCUCAUCUGCCCAGCAGGAAAGUGGACAAACCUUGUGGACUAAGGAAUUCCAUGAGUGUAGCCAUAGAUAAAGAUGUGUCUCUCAUCCCAACUAAUUGUGUCUCCAUUGCAAGAAAAAUACAGCAAAUUGCAUUCUCUCUAUGUAUAUCACCUGUAUGAAGCCUCUAUGUUUUCCUCUCCAAGGUUAACCCCAGCCCCAUGGCUGUUUAGGACCAUGACUCACACUCCACCUAUGUUGCAGCCCCAAACCAAACUGAGGAAACACUGUUAGUUGCCCCUUGUGCGUCAGAAGCAUACCAGCUCCCAUGCUGUGGAAUACGCUUCAGGCAGAGUUUCAGCAGACAUUCUCAUUUAUGAUUUUCAGGAUUCGCUUGAAGACCUUUUUCUGUUGACAGGCUGAUACAGCUGUUUAAACUUCCUUGAUUAGCCAGUCAUUUUAAUGAUUAUUUUGUCUUGUUUCUAUGAUGUUUUAGGUUUUAUUUUACAUGUAUUUAGAGCCGUUCCCAUCUGCUUAUCUUUCUUCUUUCUUUGGUCUUCUCCUUUGCUUUUCGGCUAGCCGUGCUGUGGAGGGCAGACAUGGUCAACUUUUUUGUGUUGCCGGCUGAACGGACAUGGCCUGUAGCUAAUGUCUGGCCAGCCGGCAAGGCACUGCCCAUCUGGCAGGGCCACUGAUUGGCCCAUUUAACGCUGGCAUUUUUGCAAGGGAUCCCCGCCCCUUGAUUCUGCCGGCCAGGGAAUUCCCCUAAAAACUGUACGUGGGCCAUAGUGGUUGAGGGUGGUGGACGGAGGCAACUUCCACAAUCAGCACCCACCUGAAAAGGGGUGAGAUGCCAUUGCUGUACGCAAUCAUGAUAUUUUAUAUCAGUCGGCAGUAUAUUAAUAUUUUGCUUAAUAAAGCAUGUGGUUUUGUUCUAAACUGAGAGCCAGUGUGGUGCAGUGGUUAAGAGCGGUGGACUCGUAAUCUGGUUAACCGGGUUCACUUCCCCGCUCCUCCACAUGCAGCUGCUGGGUGACCUUGGGCUAGUCACAGCUCUCUGAAGUCUGUCAGCCUCACUCACCUCACAGAGUGUUUGUUGUGGGGGAGGAAGGGAAAGGAGAAUGUUAGCUGCUUGGAGACUCCUUUGGGUAAUGAUAAAGCAGGAUAUCAAAUCCAAACUCUUCUUCUUAUUAUUCAGCAUCAAAGACAGAAACCCUUAUUGCUAUGAUAGCAUCAACUAGCCUAGAAGGAAGGCUAACUGUGUACGUGUGUACGUCUGUGCUGUAAAAUUAGUUUGCAAGAAAGAAUUCCUCUCCAGCUCCUGGAUAAAUGAAUAAGAUUGCCAACUUGCAAAACUGAUCCCAUAUCUCUCUUUGGAGCAGAGCAAAUCUAGCAUGUGUCAGUGGUAAAGCUAGGGAGCUAAGUCCAAGAAUUAGACAGAUCUGGGGCAGACCCUAGCAGCAGAUUUUGGUGAUCCAAGGGGCAAAACCAGAGUCUUUUAUUCUGCUUGGUUGGCAAGGCAUAGUUUGAGAACAGACAGAAGUUUGAUAUCUCUAUUUUAGACAGUACUUUUGUGGUCACAAGACAAAGUAAAGGCCUACUUUACUUCCAAUAGACACAGCUGUAACACAUAAUGCCAUGAUUUCAGCAGCCAUGUGGACAUUUUGGUUGCCCAAUUCAAGUGCAUGUUGUGAUGAAUCUGGGAUUUAUCCCUGUUUGACAGUCAUUCUGUUUAAUUCAUUUGGACCAUCUUUCAAUUGCAGCCACUUUAAAUCAGCAAUCUACCCUCAAAUAUAUCUGUUUGUUGGAGUGUACAUUAAGGUUACCAGAUUUUUUCAAUGAAUCCGGGGACACUUUUCAUCUUCAAUGGAUUUUGUAUGGGGACUGAUUUGUAAAACCGGGGACUGUCUCCGGGAAACGGGGACGUCUGGUAACCUUAGUUUACAUGCACAUUUGUGCUCUCAAACACCAGAAAAUGGUAUUUGGUGCUUAGUUUGCAACAGCUAGGCAAGCCAUAAUGAACUUUAGGACGAAAUGUAUUUCAUGUUUUGUUUAACUAAUAUACUGAGUCUGCUCCCAUUUGUUUUAUGUUAUGUAUUAAUUGUGUCCCACCCCAGCCAAAUCCUUUUUUAAGAAAGGAAAAAUCCCUCUUUACUAAGGUUGUCCUGGGACAUGAAGAACAGCAGUAAGCAAUCAGCCCCAUAGUCACACAACAGAUUGGGUAUGUGGGGCAUAUGGUGAACACUUGUGUACAGCUUUUAAAAGCUCAUUCCACAGGAAGUAUUAAAAGUCAGCAUUCUUAGCCCGGCCACACUUCUAGACAAGUGAAACUACUUGGCUAUCCACAUUUGUGACACAAUGCAAGGAUGAAAUAUGUGAGGUUCUAAAUAUGGCUAUCAAAAAAAACCCCCAAAAAUGCAUUCUAUCUUCCUAUAUGAAAUUAAGCACUAUACUCCAAUCCAAUGGGCUGGCUCUGGAAUUCACAUAAUAAUUCUUCCCCUCCAUGUAUUUCUUCCUUAGAUAUGGGAUCAUAUAGAUCAUGGGGGGGGGGGGUGAAUGCAUGAAUUGGUGCACAUACGUCAAUCAUGGAUAAUUCAGGGGGCCCUGUGUGAGCUGUCCAUCCUAUUCAUGCCUACUCACAUUUCACUACGCCAUAGUACUUUGCCUAGCCAUGUACCUUAGAGCUCUGCUUCAGGUUCUGGACAUGUGUGUAUGUAACUUAUCUACAUUUAGAAGGAUUUGGGAAUAAAGCCUGGGGUAAGGUAAAGGUAAAGGGACCCCUGACCAUUAGGUCCACUCGUGACUGACUCUGGGGUUGCGACGCUCAUCUCGCGGCAUACAGCUUCCGGGUCAUGUGGCCAGCAUGUCUAAGCCGCUUCUGGCGAACCAGAGCAGCGCACAGAAACGCCGUUUACCUUCCCACCAGAGCAGUACCUAUUUAUCUACUUGCACUUUGACGUGCUUUCAAACUGCUAGGUUGGCAGGAGCAGGGACCGAGCAACGGGCGCUCACCCCGUCGCGGGGAUUCGAACCACGACCUUCUGAUCAGCAAGUCCUAGGCUGUGUGGUUUAACCUACAGCGCCACCCGCAUCCCUAAGCCUGGGGUAGCCAAGACAAAAUUGGGUGGCACGCACACACAUCAAGUGAGAGGCAUUAUUACAGUUCAAGGAGACCUUCUAGCCAGGCAAAAGCACCCCAAGGGUGUAUCGAUGUGUGACUGUUUAGGGGGAAAUCUAGCUAGGAGAAGCCCAGAGAACCAUUCAGCCCAGACACUGAGGUCCAGCUCCAAUGACCUUCUGGUGGUUCAUUCACUGCGAGAAGUAAGCUUACAGGGUUGCAUCUGCCCUGUGGAAUACCCUCCCAUCAGAUGUCAAGGAGAUAAGUAACUAUACUACCUUUAGAAGACAUCUGAAGGCAGCCCUGUACAGGGAAGUUUUUAAUGUUUGAUAAUGUUUCUGUAUAUGCUGGAAGCCACCCAAAUUGGCUGGGGCAACCCAGUCAGAUGGGGGGGUAUUACAAAUAUUAUCAUCAUCAUCAUCAUCAUCAUUAUCAUUAUUAUUGCCUUUUAGGCCUUGUUUGCCUUGUUGAGAGGUGCAGACUUGCCUAUUAUAGUCGAGAUGAAAUUUGAAACAGAACUUCCUUCCAUCCUGGCUCACUUCAUACUCUUAGCCUCUAUGCUCUAAAAAAAAAAGCUAUAUCCCAUUAUCUAAACCAUAUGUUCUGCAGCAACGCUUAAAUUUCUAAAAUAAGUAUUUCUGACCAAGUAGAAAUGCCAAAAAAAGAGAGAUUCUGUUCUGAUCAUUACUGCAUAUUUGCGACAGUGUGGCAGAUGUGCAAUCCAUACAUAUAAAUGCGAUGCCAGGAGCUCAGUCUUUGCCAGGGCCACAGUUGAAUUAUAUUUUGAUCCAAGCUGGAGCACACAUGUUUAAUUUUCUUCCAUAUUGCUGUCAUUUGCAUGGGAACAGAGGAUGGCCAAGUCAUGCAAAAUUUAUUAAAGAGUAAAAAAAACAAAAACGACCCAAAACCUAAAGAUGGACUCUUUCAAUUUAUCUGACUUGUUUUAAUUACUCAAAGGUCCAUGAUGGAUUAUCGCUCUAGCCUGGGGUACAAAGAGCAUCACAAAAAGUAAGCUGCAUUAUGAGUGAUCACAACAUGGCUUAUUCUUGAUGUCCUCUAUAAAUCCUACAUCAUUAUCGUCAAAAGAACAUGCCUUCAGACUGUUCUCCUCCCUGCAUGUACUCUUCUUUAUGAACUGCUCUUUUGGAAUUUGUUAACAAUAGAGGGGGGACAAAUCUCCCAAGGUUGGGCAUAUGGAUGUGAUCAAUAUUUGGUACUGUUGGCUCUUUUAAAAACUACUGGAAUAGCUGCCCAUUUCAAUGUAUUAAAAUGAGUUGCAUGGAAGGUACCUGCCGCAAACGGACUCGUGCUUCUGUGCUAUCUCAUUGGGAUAGCAAAGGUCUAUUAUUUCCUACAAAAGACAGUGAAAGAAUGAGGUGAUGCAAUUUUAAAAACAGUGCUGGAAAUAAAGGCGGAAACAUCUUGUACAUCGAGAAAGACUGGACCUAUUUUGACCUCUAAAUCUGAUUUUCAGCUGCUGAUGUCUAUCUGUGCUUGAUGAACCCACUCCAGCGGGAGGUCAAGGGAAGGAUGGAAUGAACAACAGAUAAGAGACAGCAAGGAAAAGAAUAUUGGUGAGUUUGUCUAACAAAGUUAUCGACCUUUUCCUGCUUUGCCAUCUGUCUGGGAGGAAAAAACAGGAGACACCACCAUUGCAUCUUCACCUUCACCCUUUCUGCCAAUGAGUAAACACAUGACCCAUUACAAUUCAUACCUGAGUCACUCGUCUCUUACUUCCCCCUGCUAGGUGCUCUUGGAGGAAACUGAUUUUCUAGAUCUAUUUCAAUUUGCUUGCCCUAUAUGGUGACCUGUGUUGAGAGAGACAGGGGAAAUGUGCCCCUGCUAAUUCUCCUUGACCAAAGUAAGCUCCCAAGGAUGAUUUUGCUCUAGGAGGCUUACUUUGGUCAGAAUUGAGUAUACACUUCCAGAGUUAAUACUAAAUACAUUACUUUCGGUAAAUGAACCAACAUAGCUGCUAGAGGGCCAUGAAAAUUUGUGUGCUAGGUAUUUUAGACUCAUCUACCCAUGUACUAUCUGAAACCAAAGGGGCACAUUGGUUAAAGGUAAAAGGUAAAGGAACCCCUGACCGUUAGGUUCAGUCGUGGCCAACUCUGGGGUUGCGGCUCAUCUCACUUUAUUGGCCGAGGGAGCCGGCGUACAGCUUCCGGUUCAUGUGGCCAGCAUAACUAAGCUGCUUCUGGUGAACCAGAGCAGUGCACGGAAACGCCGUUUACCUUCCCACCAGAGCGGUACCUAUUUAUCUACUUGCACUUAGACGUGCUUUCGAACUGCUAGGUUGGCAGGAGCAGGGACCAAGCAAUGGGAGCUCACCCUGUCUCGGGGAUUCGAACCGCUGACCUUCUGAUCGGCAAGCCCUAGGCUCUGUGGUUUAACCCACAGCGCCACCCGCAUCCCUGGCACAUGAUUACCAGAUAUAAAUUACAUCCCCCAGCUCUCCUACCCCACUAAUGGGAGUUUGAGUUCAACAAUAAGUGUCAAGCCACAGACUUCCAAUCCCAGCAUUAGUGUUCAUUACAGUGUGGUCUUCUUAUUCUGAGUGGGAACACUCCUUCAUUAUUUUUGUUUUUCACAAGCUGUGUGCAGGAUGCUGGUUUUUGUAUUUUGAUUAAAAAAGAAAAUACAGUAUGUAAAAUAUAAAAUUAUAAUUCCCUGGAUUCCUAGGUCCAUUUUUGGGGUACAUACUCCAGCAGAGAUUUAAAAUUACAAAACAUGCAGCAAAGUAGAGCAUGGAAAUAUAGCCUGUUAGACAAUUGUAAUAUCCCUUUCUAAGUUCCUUCCAAAGUUCCCCACUUCCCUUAGCAUAGAAAGAGACCACAUGUUUAGUAAGUUAAAAAUGAUUGAUUUACAAACUCUUCAAAGGUAGAUUCAUGUGCCGUUUCAUACAGCAGCAAGAAAAGACAGACAGUUUAACUUAGAUUCCAAAAAUUGUAAGAGUUUCUAAAUUAUUUGAAUAGAAAGGCAAAAAUGGCAUGCUUAAGCCAUGUGGUCUAAAUUUGGAGCAUCCAGCUUAGACUUCCUUACUGCUAGGGUUCAUAUGGUUGAAGUGAGAGAACAAAGAGUUUGGUAAGCCUUCUUCCCAAGGUGAGACGGUGUGACCUAGCUAAGCCUGGCAAGACUCUGUGGACUUAACCCCUUCAUGCAUUAAAGUUAAGUAUGUUGGUUAUAUGAGGCUGAUUUAUCUGGCAUAUUAGGUCUACUAUGGAAUUAUAUGGAACCACGCAGAGUGUUAGAACUAUGUUCCUUUGAUGACCAGCAACAGUGCUUAGUUAUCCUGCACCUUCUGUAACAGGAGAGGUUCCUCAGCUCCGAUAAAUAGUCCCACAACCUGACAUUUAUUUCAUGCAACUCCACUAUUAAUACUAUUUGUGUUGUAAACAGAAACAAGAGCUGUCAACCUUCUCAAGUUAAUUUACUAUACUGGAGAAAAUACAUAGUCCAUGUGUGAAUAAUAUUCCACCAGCAGUUAUGGAUUAAAAGAGGGUGGGGGAGAUGGAAAAUUAGAGAACAUCAUCUCAUGUAGAAUAAGGUCCCUUGUUGUUGCUAAUAAAAUAAUUCACUUCUGGGGUGUUUAAAUUCAUGUUUUUAAUAGUAUUUCCAAAAGUGUUCAAGGUACAAACUCCCAUACACAUGCGGACACACACACGCCCGUAAACAUGUCUUCAAUUUUAAGCAUUCAGUGAUCCCAAUAUGGAGAAAAGCUUCCUUCCAUCUGCUUCCUCGGCAGUUACUUAUUCCUUCAGAGUAAACGGAACAGCUCUGGCAGAAGAUUUACAAACAAUAGAACACUAUUGCAUAACUGGCAUUCACUGCACUGCACUCAACACUUCCCCUAUAUCUGCUUCUCAUAUCGAGUGCAACUUAUGCAUUCUGGGGAUAGUGCCUAAAGUCAAAAUCACAUAUAGUCAAAACCAGUGUGUGUUUUUUUCUGGGGAGACGCAGGGGUACACAUACCCCUAAAUAUUUUGUGAAUCUAAGGGGAGAAGAAACUAAUUUUUUAAAAAAUAGUUUCUUCUCUAGCAUGGUGAAUCAGCCACAUUUCCUAUCAUGGUGUUUCCUGAGUCUCAGAUGGAAGCGGGCGUUUAAUGUGUGAAGUAGGAGUUGGAAUCUAGCACUGUGAUUGGUCAGUUUUGUUGUUACCACCUCCAAUGGUGGCUUCAUUUCCUUUCCCAGUGUUUCCUGAGUCUCAGAUGGAGGCAAGCGUUUAAUGUGUGAAGCAGUGUAGAAUGUGGAUGUGGGCUGUUUUACUGAUGAAAGUUUGGCCUCAAUAUGAGUAAUGCAUGUUCUUUGUACUUUUGGCCAUUUGCUGCAUUUAUUUUUCCCGAUUUGAACUAUAAAAUGGUGAUUUUCUUGAGUCAAAAUGAGAGAAACAUUUUUAAAGGGGGAAAAAGUGCUGGUCAAAGCACAUUGGGUGCAAUGGUGGUUGCUACAGCCUCUCCUCCCCCCACCACCUUCCCCCUUUCUUUUUCUUUUUAACUUUGUCAAGCGUAUAAAACUAAAUACACGCAAGUUAAAUGUCUGUAAGUUGUGAAUGUACUGUAUACAAAUGCUUAACUGGUUGCUUCUUAAUACUAAUAGCUUGAAUACUAGUAGCUAGAAAUUGGAAAGAAGCCAAAUGUACAUCAGUGGCAUAAUCUGGAGCAUAACACUUUCUGGAAAACUCUCUCUCUCUCUCUCUCUCUCUCACACACACACACACACACACACACACACACAAAACCUGUGUGGCAAAAGAAAGGAGAGACAUUCAUGGCAGUCUGGUGGCUAUUCAUCCAGCAAAUGAACAAUGACUCUAGGACAAACUGUAUCUGACGCAUUCUGUAAUAUAUGGUUGUUAAUAUUUUCCUUCAUAUUGAUAUUAUUGUUUGCAUCUGAGCUAUGUCUUUGGGUUUGGGGAAAAGGAGAGGGAGGAUAUUCCAGUUGUUUUUUUUAGAAGUCAAUAAAAAUUAAGGGGGAAAGGUUUAUGCUUGGGUGACAUGCAUAUUCUUUGAAUAAAGUGGACCUCUUUUUAAAAUAAUAAUAAAAAACUGAAACGAAAAACCAGCCAGUGGGUGGUGAACAGUGGUUACCGAAUAACUGCUGACACUGAAAGAGCAGCCAAAGCAGGAAUUAUCAAAUCAGGUGACUAUCAUUGUUCAAUACGUUUAAUGCUACAAGCACCUGGUUCUUUCUUCAUUAUACAACUUACAGAAGACCAAAGAGUAUGCCAGUCUAUAACAUCAAAAUAAUUAUUCCAUGUAGCAAAUAUUUGAUCCAGUGAAGAAAAACAUAUUUUAGUGACUUGACAUUAGGUAAUGGAAAGAAAAGCUGAAAACUGCCUUUCAGUUUGCAUGCACAACCCAAAAUUUCUAUGUUAAUUACACAACAAACCUGGGGCUUAUGAAAUAAAGAACAGAGGGUUUAUAUGUUUUUUAGCAGUACUAUCCAUGGAAAAAUCCCUCUUCGUUCUCCACUGUAAGAAGAAAAAACAGUAUUUUCAAUAAAUGUCAAUUUUUAUAUAGUAUACAGGCUUUUAUAGUAUACAAGCUUUACAAGAGAAAUCUAAUUUGCAAAGAUAAACCACCAUACAUAUUUAUGCAUUUAUUUGUACUUUAUUACCGUUUGGAAACAUUAGUAUAAUACAUUGGUACCUCGGGUUACAGACGCUUCAGGUUACAGAUUCCGCUAACCCAGAAAUAGUACCUCGUGUUAAGAACUUUGAUUCAGGAUGAGAACAAAAGUCGUGCUCCGGUGGCGCGGUGGCAGCGGGAAGUCCCAUUAGCUAAAGUGAAACCUCAGGUUAAGAACAGUUUCAGGUUAAGAACAGACCUCCAGAACGAAUUAAGUUCUUAACCCAAGGUACCACUGCACAGGGAGAUAUGAAAUCAAGCCGAGUACGAUUGUCUUCCAUGAGCACGGUCUUCACAGUGAGUCCGUAAGUGACUGUGGAGGUCAAUUCUGGAUCCACACAUCUUUCCACAGUAGGGACAGAGGUUUCUGGUUGGGAGUUGAUCACAGUGAGAGUUUGCCAAACAUGCCUUCCUCUUAGCACAUUUCUCCCUUUUGUCCUGAGUUUGAGCGUCUUCAAAGUCCACGACACCUUUGGUAAAGGCUGUUCUCCAAUUGGAACGGUUGCAGGCCAGUGUUUCCCAGUUGUUGGUGUUUAGACUACAUUUUUAAAGAUAUGUCUUAAGAGAUCUUUAAACCUUUUUUGUUGACCACCAGCAUUAUGCUUUCCAUCUUUAAGUUUGGAAGAGAGUAGUUGCUUUGGAAGACAAUAAUCAGGCAUCCGAACAACAUGACCAGUCCAAUGAAGCUGAUGUUGAAGAAUCAUUGCUUUGACACUGGUGAUCGUUGCUUCUUCCAGGACACUGGCAUUAGUUUGCCUAAAGCUUGUCCAAUGCCAGUGCUACUAGGUGGUGGUCAAAAAGCAUAGAAUCAUAGAAUUGUAGAGUUGUGGCACACACUGAGUGACUAACUAAAAAAUCAUAGUAACGUUUCUAAACAUAACAAUUUUUUAGCAAGUGUCCCGGAAGCCAAUUCAUGCAGCUCUGUGAACUUGUGUUGAACUACUUUCUCUCCCCUUCGAAGAGAAGCAACUUCAGCACUAGUCAAAACUUCCCUGCCAUCGAAUAAUGAAUGCAAGCUGUUCCUUGCUCUGGCAAACAGGACAUUUUUUGGUAAAGAAAACAGCUGGGGCAUGAAAACAAAGUGUUUGCAUUUCAAUAUACUGUAUUUUUUGCUCUAUAAGUCUCACUUUUCCCCUCCUAAAAAGUAAGGGGAAAUGUGUGUGCGUCUUAUGGAGCGAAUGCAGGCUGCGCAGCUAUCCCAGGAGCCAGAACAGCAAGAGGGAUUGCUGCUUUCACUGCGCAGCGAUCCCUCUUGCUGUUAUGGCUUCUGAGAUUCAGAAUAUUUUUUUUCUUGUUUUCCUCUUCCAAAAACUAGGUGCGUCUUGUGGUCUGGUGCGUCUUAUAGAGCGAAAAAUACAAUUUCUCUCUCAAAAAGGGAUUUUUUAAUUUAAAAAAAAUACUCUUCCCUCCCCAGCAGUGGAGGUUGGUGCAUGAUAGCAAAUGAGGUAUUGCCCCCACCAAACUCACUUUCUUAGUUAAAGCCAUUCCACAGAGAAGCAUCCCUUGUCAACUUCCUCGUCCUAAGCCUCAGUGUUGUUCUAGAACAGGAGUAGGCAACCUAAGGCCCGGGGGCCGGAUGCGGCCCAAUUGCCUUCUCAAUCUGGCCCGCGGAUGGUCCAGGAAUCAGUGUGAUUUUACAUGAGUAGAAUGUGUGCUUUUAUUUAAAAAGCAUCUCUGGGUUCUUUGUGGGGCAUAGGAAUUUGUUCAUUCCCCCCCCCAAAAAAAAUAGUCUGGCCUACCACAUGGUCUGAGGGACGGUGGACUGGCCCUCGGCUGUAAAAGGUUGCUGACCCCUGCUCUAGCAGAACUCAGCAGGAAGAAGGAUGAGGACAAAGAAUUAGUGGGCUUUGCCUGCCGUUGGUUCCGGCCCCACCUGCUGUUUGUCUCCCUGCCUUCAGCCCUACCAAUUUCAAUGGGCACCAGCCACCACUUCUCCUCAGCUAUAAUCUCUCUGAAUCACUACCACCCUGCACUGCACUUAACAAAAGGGGAAAAAGAGGAAAGAACACUCAUUAUUAACACUUGAUUCUGAGAAUCUGGUCCUUAAUUUAAUUGAUCCAGAGUGAUUGUUUGGUGCUCUUGUUUUAAAUAACAUUCAGAUGCACAGGCAUUCUUUCAGCAUGCCACGGGUUAUUUUGUUAACCGCAGAAGGCGGGGAUUUAAUCUGGUACAGCACCAAAAGCAACGCGACCUGUGACCUGGGGGGGGUCACUGAUACAGCACCCACAUUGAAUGACUUUUGCCAAGUCCCCCCGGCCUGUUUCACACAUUUGUCUGCAUCCUUAUGGAGCGUACAAGCAGGGAAUGAUCUUUGACACCCAGACACCUUUGUCCGAUACUUUUAUGUUCAGUCAUUUCUGCCUGUAGGACACAUGUUGCAGUUAUGAGAGACAGCCGCUAGCUGAACAGAGUGUGUUUGUUUACUGGAAGUGGCAGGAGGUAAAUCAAGGGUGAGGGACAUGUUGACCUCCAGAUGUGGCUGGACUCCAAGUCCCAUCAGACGCAGUCAGAGCAUGGGCAGCGGUCAGGAAUGAUGGGAGUUGCCAUCUAGCAACAUGUUUCAGAAACUCUGGUUCAUUGGAUUCCAUGGUUUUACUCUGAAAUAUCCCAACUAAGUGUACAUUAAAGGUUUUUGACCAUUUUGGCCACAGCCUGGUGCAUGGUCUUCAGGCAAAGGAGGCCAUCACUUGUGUACCACUUUGGGUUCCAAGAUGGACGAAAGAGAGGAUGUAAACGUAAGGAAAAUUAAAUAAAUAAAUCCCAUUCUAUACCCAGGAAUAAUUGAACUCAGUGAGGGCUUACUUCUGAAUAAAUAUGUGGAGUGAUUUCUCUGCAUGGCUAAUGGAAUUCCUCACCACAGGCGUUAAUUCUGAAGCCUUCUAAAAUACUUCACCAGCCAGAUAAAUGUAACCUUUUUGUUUUGGAGAAGUUUUGUAAAUACAGUAGUACCUCUGAUUACAUAACCCUCUGGUUACGUAAACUUCAGGAUGCAAAAGCGGAAAACCUGUAAGUAUUUGACUGGGUUUCGCCACACGCACAUGCGCAGAAGCUGUCCUCAGGUUGUGGAAACCUCAGGAUCCAAUCGGACCUCCGGAACGGAUCCCAUCCGCAACCGGAGGUACCACUGUACAUCCCUGGUUUGGGAGGUAUUACAUCAGUGUUUUCCAAACUUGGGUCUCUAGCUGUUUUCGGACUACAAUUCCCAUUAUCCCUGACCACUUGCUAGCUAGGGAUGGUGAGAAUUGUAGUCCAAAAACAGCUGGAGAUGCAAGUUUGGGAAACACUGAAUUAUACCAUCACACCAUUUUGUGACAUGCAUUUUGAAAUUAUCUGAUUGCUGUGGGGUUUUUAAGAAACAAUCCAGUUUAAAUAUAUAGAUAAUUAAGAUGCUAAAGGACGUGGGUGGCGCUGUGAGUUAAACCACAGAGCCUAGGGCUUGCUGAUCAGAAGGUCAGCGAUUCGAAUCCCCGUGAAGGGGUGAGCUCCCAUUGCUCGGUCCCAGCUCCUGCCAACCUAGCAGUUCGAAAGCACAUCAAAGUGCAAGUAGAUAAAUAGGUACCACUCUGGCAGGAAGGUAAACAGCGUUUCAUGCACUGCUCUGAUUCACUAGAAGCAGCUUAGUCAUGCUGGCCACAUGACCCGGAAGCUCCCUCGGCCAAUAAAGCAAGAUGUGCGCCACAACCCCAGAGUCGGUCACGACUGGACCUAAUGGUCAGGGGUCACUUUACCUUUACCUUUACCUUUUAAGAUGCUAAAAUGUGACUUUGGGGAAGUGCUUCUAUCUCAUCAGAGACAAAUAACACGAGACCUUAGCCACCAUGUUCCUGAUAAGCCACUUUACCAUUUUCACGAGUUACACAGACAUGAGACUUAUCAGAAGAACCAUAUGAGAGAUCCAGAACCAACCUUCUUCCACCCUAUCAUGCCACCAGCACUUAGUAGACUCUUCCUUGGACCUCUCUGGUACUCCUAUGUCCAUUCAUAUUUCCUUAACAGGAUGUUGCCUGUCCCGGGAACCUUCCCCAGAAACUCCUAUUGUUCAAGAACCAUUCUGUUAACACCAAGUUGCCUGCUCAGCUCCCAUAAAAUCGAGGCAAGCCAAAUGACUUCCAGGGUUGCUGGUCUGCAAUAAAACACCAUAUCAUGCACAGUCCUGCCUCAUCAAAGGCUACACUGUUUUUAACUUCCCAUUACUUUAUUGUACUAAAUAGGGAAGAGUUGACAAUUCCUAGUCCGUUCAUAAAUAUAUCUAUCGAGACUAGUCUGUUUCAUCUGUUUCUUUCCUCUUUCGCUUUUGAGGACCCGUUUCACUUAUAAAAACACCUGACUGCUCUGACAGUUAUGCUCUCUGUACCAUUAAUUUCAGCUGCUCUUUGAUCCGAAUUGCAGCUGGAGCUUAGCAUGCCAAGACUGUAACAUCUUGCAGCUCGCAUUGAAAUGGAGAUUAGACCACAACCCAAUAGUUCUGGGUGGUUUCACGUGAUGGGGGAGGGAGGGAGGGUGGGUUGGCAAUGUUGCAAAAGGCAACACUUCAUUUGGCAAAAGCCAACAAGAAUGACAGGGUUCAGAUAUCAGAAAAAUAGAACGGGAAGAGACCUAAGAAACUUCAACUCAGGAAUAAAGCACACAGGCUGUCUAAUAUGGAAAAGCCUAUCUGUGCGGGAUGCCAGCUUAUCAGAAACAAACAGCCCAUGCUACUCUUGUUCCUUUAACAGAAGCAUAAUGUCCAGUGAUAAUCAGUUGAGGCUUUUCAAAGCAUGGUCAUCAGCUGAUGUUGGUAAAUUAAGCGGUUAUCAAAGGAACAGCUAUAGGACCAAGUUCAGAACAUGACAGCCAUAUUGCCUAUAGCAGAAAUGUGGAGCUUGAGGUCCUCUGUCUCGCAUCAGCACCAGCGAACAUGGUCAACAAUGAAGGAUGAUGGGAGCUGAAACCAACAACAUCUUGAAGACCACUGGUUUCUCCAUUUCUCCAAUUCAUAGAAUUAUUUUGCACUUGCAUAUCGGAAAUUCUGUUAAUUUUAUUCAUUUAUUUGGAAUUAACUUUACACAGAUUUCCUGUGGAUGCUUUGUCUCAGAAGGACCCUCUAAAUUCAUCUCACGUAUUGCUUCAGAUGUUCUUAAAGGUGAAAAUACCUCUUUCAGAGCCUGGACCUAGGCUUUCUAUGAAGUGCAAUGAGACAGCAGGGCCUCUUUGGACCGAUUUCUACAACAGUCUGCAGAACCUUCUCUUGCAAUAAUUUAUGUAGUUGUUACAAACGCUAGAGAAUUCUAUUGCUCUAAGGUAUUUUAAUCAUACUGGAACUUUUUGUUUCAUUUAAAAUUGAAAAUAGCUUUCAAAAGCCCCUGUGCACGAUUAUUGCACAGCAUUCCUAGACUCCUUCUAGGGGGUGAUGGAAACUUUCCAGGAAAAAUGAAAGAGCAAAGCAACCUACGUUCGUAGUCGAGUUUGUCUUGCUAUUACAUUUACCUGAGGGACAAUAUAUGACAGCUGGAUGGAACAGCCAGUCCUGAAAUCUGAUCAAAAAGAGCUGUGCUCAGCAUUCCUGCACAAAAUAUUUAAAUUUCCUGGAAACUCAUUUUCAUUAUCUUAGUUUUACUGUUGCGAUUCCUCUUGGAUGUUUCAGCUGGAGGAUAUUGGGAUUAGACCGGAGCUAUUGACCACUGUACCAGUAACCAGACUUGGAGUACUUCUCCUUCAAGCAAAGGGUCACUGAAGUUGAAGGGUGCAGUACUUUGACAGUGCAGUACUUUGGUCCAACCAGCUACUUGCUCAGUUUAAAAAAGAUGGGUAUGUUCACAUGCUACGUGAAGAAGCAUCUCCACUCCCAUUGUUCAGCCCAGACACUGAGGUCCAUCUCCGAGGGCCUUCUGGUGGUUCCCUCACUGCAAAAAGUGAGGUUACAGGGAACCAGGCAGAGGGCCUUCUUGGUAAUGGCACCCUCCCUGUGGAACGCCCUCCCAUCAGAUGUCAAGGAGAUAAAGAACUGCACUACUUUUAGAAGACAUCUGAAGGAAGCCCUGUUUGGGGAAGUUUUUAAUGUUUGACAUCUUAUGUUUUUUAGAUGUGCUGGAAGCUGCCCAGAAGGGCUGGGAAAAUCCAGUCAGAUGUGCAGGGUUCAAAUAAUAAAAUUAUUGUUGUUCUUAUUAUGCACCUUUUAAAAAGAGGCUGAGGAUUUGCAUACUGGUAUAAUCUGAGUUUAUGGUGGCAGAUCACAUGAUCACGUCAUCUAGUGCAAGGUGGCAGGGAACUCCAACCAAGGUUAUGAGGACUGGCUCAUUCGUUUUGAGAACAGUUGCUUUGGAGAAAGCGGGCACUGAUAUUUCCUACACUGUUUUUGUGACAAAAAAGAAUGCCACCAUUUCCAGCACUUAUGUCUCUUUGCACCCAUGAAACUGGCAGCCUUAUGAGAAUCCGAUACUUGGUGCCUGUUGUAAAAUGUUCCAUUGGUAUUGCGAAUCACCCUCAUUUUGUCAGUGGCUCUGGACACGCUGAGUGAAUUGGUGAGCUUUGUGUUAUGAAUUAGAUCAGAAUGGAGAGCUGUAAUGUUCUUUCCUGGCCAUGCUCCAUGUUUCCAUUAAUCAUUUUUGCAACUCUACACUGCAGCUAAGGAGAUUAGAAGUUUCAUAAACCCAAACAGAGGCCAGUGCCCUUCGGUCUUCCAGGGCUGUAACUGCCAGCUGCGAUACAGUUAGAAGCUCCUCUGCCUUCUUCCUGCUUCGGCCCUCGGGACCUUUUCCUCUCCAAUUUGGAGCAGCUCUGCCAAAUCAGGGCGAUGACUACUGUGAACACAACUGCUUGGUGGAACUGGCUCCUAUUUACUUUCUGAUCCAGCUCUGGGGUUAUUCAUUCUGUUUAUUUCCAUAGUUACUCUCCACAUUCCGACUGAUAGCCAAAAGAUAAUUCCACCUGUUCAUAGGAAAUCCACAUAGCGCCAUUUCUAAGUGAUGACAGCAUUCCACACCAUUAAAUUUCCUCUAGUUUUGGCUUGUGCAAUAUAGGACCCACCUUGCGCCUGCAAGAUGGUCGACAAUUGCUCCCUGCUCCAUUUUUAUCUCUGUUUCUUUGCCAUCCUGACAGCUUCCAUGGAGCUGAUGAGCUGCAACAAAGUUAGGCUGCUAUUAACACACGAGAGAGAGAGAGAGGGAGAGAGAGUCUGUCACACAAAAUUGCCAAUGUGAACAUUUUGCAUACUUUGAAUCAUAGAAUUGUAGAGUUGGAAGGGACCCUGUGGACCGUAUAUUCCAACCCCCUGCAAUGCAGGAAUAUGCAGCUGUCCCAUACAGGGAUCAAAAUAUUAUGGACAGUAGUUCAUUACUGUUCAGUUAUUAUUAUUAUUAUUAUUAUUAUUAUUAUUAUUAUUACUGUUAGGACUGUUCCAAUGAUGAUGCUGAUACCAGUGCUAUUCCUGCCCCCCCCCCAAAAAAAGAGGUGCUGGAACUCGCCAUAAAUGCCUCCCUUGUUCUCUUAGAAUCAUAGAAUCAUAGAGUUGGAAGAGACCACAAGGGCCAUCGAGUCCAACCCCCUGCCAAGCAGGAAACACCAUCAGAGCACUCCUGACAUAUGGUUGUCAAGCCUCUGCUUAAAGACCUCCAAAGAAGGAGACUCCACCACACUCCUUGGCAGCAGAUUCCACUGUCGAACAGCUCUUACUGUCAGGAAGUUCUUCCUAAUGUUUAGGUGGAAUCUUCUUUCUUGUAGUUUGGAUCCAUUGCUCCGUGUCCGCUUCUCUGGAGCAGCAGAAAACAACCUUUCUCCCUCCUCUAUGUGACAUCCUUUUAUAUAUUUGAACAUGGCUAUCAUAUCACCCCUUAACCCAGUGGCGUAGCGUGGGUUGUCAGCACCCGGGGCAAGGCAAGUAAUUUGCGCCCCCUAACCCAUGGAUUUUAGUAGGGGCAGAGAGCUGUGAGUGCGAGCGCACACCCCCCCAGAUGUUGCGCCCGGUGCGGCCGGCCCCCCCUGCACCCCCCACGCUACGCCACUGCCUUAACCUCCUCUUCUCCAGGCUAAACAUGCCCAGCUCCCUUAGCCGUUCCUCAUAAGGCAUCGUUUCCAGGCCUUUGACCAUUUUGGUUGCCCUCCAGACCAGAGCAGAAUACAGUGGCACUAUUACUUCCCUUGAUCUAGAUGCUAUACUCCUAUUGAUGCAGCCCAGAAUUGCAUUGGCUUUUUUAGCUGCUGCGUCACACUGUUGGCUCAUGUCAAGUUUGUGGUCAACCAAGACUCCUAGAUCCUUAUACAGUGGUACCUUGGUUCUCAAAUACCUUGGUACUCAAACACUGCAAACCUGGAAGAAAGUGUUCCGGUUUGCGAAAUGUUUUCGGAAGCCGAAUGUGCACCGUUUUGAGUGCCACGCUUCUGUUUUGAGUGUUACGCUGAGGUCUGCCUGUUUUUGCUAUUUAUUUUGCGUUUUUCUUUUUGCUGCUUUUUGCUUUUUCUUUUUGUGACUGUGUGGAACACAGUUCAGCUACUGAUCGACUGAUUGUGUGACUGCAGUACAUUGCUUAUUGCUUUCAUUUACGGAUCAGUGGUCUCGUUAGAUAGUAAAAUUCAUGUUAAAUUGCUGGUUUGGGGGUUAUUUUAAAAAGAGUGGAACAGAUUCAUCCAUUUUGCAUUACUUUCUAUGGGAAAGUGCGCCUUGGUUUUGGAAUGCUUUGGUUUUGGAAUGGACUUUCAGAACAGAUUAGGUUUGAGAACCAAGGCACCACUAUAAUGGCAAUGGCACCCACCUGAGAAGUGCCUGAAAAAAAGCCUUGACUACUAUUACCAUUAUUAUUACAGUGGUACCUCUGGUUACAGACGCUUCAGGUUACAGACUCCGCUAACCCAGAAAUAGUACCUCAGGUUAAGAACUUUGCUUCAGAAUGAGAACAGAAAUCGGGCGGCAGCGGCGCAGUGGCUGCAGCAGGCCCCAUUAGCUAAAGUGGUACCUCAGGUUAAGAACAGUUUCAGGUUAAGAACAGACCUCCAGAACAAAUUAAGUUCUUAACUCGAGGUACCACUGUAAUACUAAUGAUAACCACUAGGAGAAGUAGCAACAACAACAAUAUCAUCCACAUUAUUACUGGGACAUUGUUGUUGUUGUUACCACCAAACUACCAAUAAUAUGCCCCCAAUUCCCCAGCCUUUUAGAUACGAAAGUGCAGUGUGCUACAUUCCUAGAGACAAAGUUAACCAGCCACAUAACUGCCUUUCCUCUUGGCCCACAAAGUGUGGCACUGCUCUCUAGCCACCCCCCAGCAGCGAGUGGAUUGGAGUCUGCUGUUACCUCUUGCGUCCCCUCGGCACUGCUCUCUUGCCACGCAAUUUACAGGGUUCACAACAGCUUAGAGGGACAAACAGCAUUUCUCUCCACACUUGAGUUGCAACUCAAGGUCAUUUAUGCUUAUCCACCUUUUUGCAUGUUAAAGUAAUUCACUGGCAAAAAGCCAACAUUCCUCAAGGAAGCCUCGGGCGGAUUCUAAUCCAGGCUAUGUUCUGUUCCAGAUUCCAUAUCUCUUCUGUUGUCUUUAAUCAUGCUGCAGUUUGCUGCUUUCUCUCGCUGAGUCUCUGGUGAUCAAUUAUGCAUCUUCCUCUUGUUAUUAGUUCUCGGAACAUCUCUGUUUACCUCUUAGCGAGGAACAUUUCCCAGCAUACGGUUAUAUAUAUGUUACACAAUUUGGGCAUGAUCCAGCUAUAGUUUAGACAGCUUUAAAUAGGGCUGAAACGGCCUCUCCGCCUUCCCCUUCACAGCCCCUUCUCAUAUUGUGAAAGUGGAGAGGCUGUGUUUUCUGCCAUUUUGGUGUGGGGUGGCAAAAACUGAUUUACUUUUCAAGGGGAGCUCUUACGUUAUGAUUUAUUGGCAACUUAGGUGAAUUUUUCCAGCUGUGGUUGUAGUACACCCUUUGGCAAAUUCAGCCCUCAAGGCCUUUGUAGGAGGACAUUAUAUCACAACUGUUAUGUACUGAAGUUCUCACCCUGGGCCAGCAGGGGGAUACUGUAGAUAGUUAUGCAAAUAAGGGAUUGAAAGUGACGUUCAGUGAUUGGAUAGUUUUAGAAAAUUGUUACAGUUACGUUGUACUGGAGCUCUAUAUAAGCAGGCUGUCUGAACCCUUCAGUUCAGUUCUGUUCUGGCCUGUGAAUAAACAAGAGCUGUUAGAAGAAUCGCUGUGUCGUCCGAUAUGUUCACCCACAACUUAACAAGAACAAUGUCCUCAGGACCCUACUGGGAGGAAAAAGCUGCCCCCUGUGUGGUGGCCACUCACCCCCUAACAACCUGAUACCUUCUGGACAAAAAUCCAAAUCACUACUAUUAAGAUGUAAUCCAGUUCCUACUGAACUGAACCACCUAACCAUUUGGUGAUGGAAGCACAUUAUCUUUGUAGCAGGAGAUAAAUAAGAAAAUAUCACUGCUUACAAUUUGGGUACAGUAGUUAGUGCACAGUGGAUUACAGGACCUGGCUGUAUGGCUUGAUAAGAUUGCUUCCUGCUUGUUUUGCUUCAUAUCACUGGCUAGUUAGGUCCAUGGAAAAUAUUGUUUUGUUGUUGGCUUCCGUCUGUCUCGAGAGACAUUGACAUGCACUUCCGGGGGUGAAACCAAAGCACUGUCCUAGCAGCACCAAAGUAACCUCCCUGGGGUGCAGGAAUGGGUAGUGAGUAUGAAGGCAACAAGACCCCACUUCUUGGCCUCGUUGAUGUGGUCCAAAAGAAAGCAGAGCAAUACAUUUAGCACCAGCUUGGCUGCAGGAAUGGCCAGGUGGAGGCAUAUAAGGUGCCAUCCAACCAUCUUAGGGACUCCACUCCAGAUUUGUGUAAGCUUUACUCCUUAGCCUUUUCUUCUACUAAAGAUAUCCCGCAAGGCAGUGGAGGUUUAGCAUCAGAGUUUUCCUUCUCCUAGAUGGGCUAUCUUCCCAUAUGGGCAAGCCCCAUCUGUCUCUUACUUCCCUCUACCACACAUGCAGAUACCGCCUUCUUGACCUUUGGGCCCACUAUUGGUCUUGUCGGCUCAAUCUAUCCCUGAUUCAUAGAGGGUUUCAGACCCUCACCUGGUUUAGCCGAUUGAAGCUGUUUCCUGGGUUGUGGCUGCUGUUGCACAUUGACAGCCACAGGUGAGAGCUGAGUUCAGUUGUGGACCUAAGGUGGACAAGCUACCUCAGAAGGAGCAAAAUGUGUCCCCUCACCAGAGGUACUACCACUCCCUUAACACCCUGUCCACCCCAAGGAAAAUAUACAAUACGAUAAAGGCUGCAAGCACUUAGGACAGACCUAUGCGCUCUUCAGCUGUGGCAGACGGGUGUGGAAUAAUCUCAUGAGACUCCUCCCAAGCAGCCAACAUCUCUCACAGUUUUAAUUACAUUUCUCCUCAGAUUCCUCUGCAACAGCUGGCUACAUUAUAAGGCUUUGGACUUUCACCAUCUUUGCCUCAAAGGAAGUGCAUAUAUGAAGUGGGUCCAUGCUGGUUAGAUUGACAGGAAGUUGUAGGCAGGGCCAGCCUGCUUAUGAGGUGGGAUGAGGCAGCCAUCUUUGGUGGCAUAACCCCAAGAGGCAAUGCUCCCUGUUGGCAUCCCUUCCACCCCACUGCCUCAUCCUGCAGUGGCAGCUUCUGGUGAGAUCUCGCUAGAAUCUUUUGCGACCUCAUGAAUGUGGUGAGAUCUCACGAGAGCUCCAUGAGCACUCAUGAGACCUUGCCAGAACCUGCCAUUGUUGUCGCCACUUUGAGGACCCUGCCACAUGACCCAGGAAAGGGAGGCUUUGGCAGGGGCAGGGUAGUGGUGCAGGGCAGGGCAGCACAUUCAUGGUUUCUCCUCAGGCAGCAAAACAGGAUGUGCUGCCCUUGGCUAUAGGAAGCAAACAGAAAACAGAGUCUGCAGCAUCUGUCUGCAUCUUCCACUUCCAAGUGUCCAACAGGGACUGUAUAUAUCAGUUUCAGUCCUCAAGUACCACACUCUGGCAUUGGAUCACUAGAGUAUUCAGAAGGCCUACUUCAGAGCAGUGUCGUCUGGCAUUUUUUGGACCUCGCAGGGGUGCUAAGAAGGCAUGGGCAAUGAGAUCGCAGGGGCAGGACUAGUUGGUCUCCUCCCCGCCCUCCCCCCUUGCAAAUAUACUACAGACACUUAAGUGCUACAGUCGUACACCUACUUAGAGUAAACCAUUUGAAGAUUUCAGCUAUUGACUUGCCUAGCGAAAGCACAAACCAUGAAUGAAGCUGUUUUUAGCUUUGCUGUCUCAAAUUUGGAUCAUUGGUUGAUUUCAUCGUUGUGACCAUUCACUCCCCCACGCCUUCCUGUGUGUAACAGAGGAAAACCAGUCUCAGUUACUGUGGAGAUCUAAAUGUAUGCAGGAAAGGGAUUAGGCACUGAUUGAUACAGACAGUCAAUUAGUACUUCAAAGGGAAGCUGACUCCUUGUUUUAUACACACAGAGCAUGGGAUAAAAAGAUUGUAGUUUGAUGUCUUGUAAUCUCUGUUGCUUCAGUGUUGACCAGGACAGCAUGAUAUUGGGAGGUUUCUCGGAAGUUAAAAGAGCCCCGCAUUGGCUCCCAGUGGAAUGGCAGCAUUAGGAGAGACAAUGACAUUGUGUGAUCUGUGCACACUAGCUUUUCAAAAGUAUUUCAGGCUGAACUGACUCUCUGGGACUCUGACUGUUCAAGUCAAAAAGUGUUCUUAAUCUCCAUGAUGUGCUGAUCAAACCUUAAACUGUCAGGCCACAUUAUUUCCACGGAGCCAGUUCUAUUGGUGAUUAAUUAAAAUUUCUUCUUGAUUGCAUACAGUCCUUUUAAAUGUGUAAUCCAUUUAUUGUGUAGUGAGUUGAGAAUAAGGGACCAAUUCCGACAAUGUCGGGGUAACACCGACUAGCGUGCCCUCCUCUGCUGAACACCCAUGCCGGCAUAUGUUGUGUUUUGUAUGCUGGAAGGCAAUGGUGAAGUUCUGGGAAGAAUACAAAGGGUUAGGGCAAGGAUGUUAUCACUGGGGGAAAUCAUUACAAAAGUCAAACUGGAUUGAUAAUAUAUGCACCUGUGAAAUUCUGUAUCAUAAGGUAGGGAAGGACCAUGUUUUUGUACAUGCUGGAAGCUGCCCAGAGUAGCUUAAGCAACCUAGUCAGAUGAGCGGGCUACAAAUAAAUUAUUAUUAUUAUUCAGAAGGUCCCAGGUUCCAUCACUUGCAUCUCCAGGUACACUUCUAUACCAGAAGAGAGAGGAAGAGGUGUGAGGACAGCACUAUGCAAGCCAGUGGAUGCUCAGGUGCGUAGCAGAGCCCUGCCCUGUUUUCCACUACUGGGAAAAUGCAUGCAUUAGGGUAACAUACGUAUUAAAAAUGCAUGUAUUCAUGAUUUCUUCUAUUUCACUUGUCCCACAGUGUGAGCAGGAUAAACAGACCAAGAAGCUUUGGCUUUCCAUUACAACAAAACCGCAGGUUGUGGUUUGUUGGCUUCUAACAAGACAUGAAGCAUACGGGUGGCGCUGUGUGUUAAACCACAGAGACUAGGGCUUGCUGAUCAGAAGGUCGGCGGUUCGAAUCCCCGUGACGGCGUGAGCUCCUGUUGCUCAGUCCCAGCUCCUGCCAACCUAGCAGUUUGAAAGCACGUCAAAGUGCAAGUAGAUAAAUUGGUACUGCUCCAUCAGGAAGGUAAAUGGCAUUUCCGUGCACUGCUCUGGUUCACCUGCUGGCCACAUGACCCGGAAGCUGUACGCCGGCUCCAUCAGCCAAUAAAGCGAGAUGAGCGCCACAACCCCAGAGUCAUCCGUGACUGGACCUAACAGUCAGGGGUCCCUUUACCUUUAACAAGACAUGAGCAUCAAGCCAAUGACAAACCAUAGAUGCAGGCUGAAUCGUGAUCAUGUUGUUAGGCUUCAACAGACCAUGAUCUCUAGUUUGGGCAUCACUAUCUACCAAAGCUUACUGGUUUGUUUAUCCCAUUUGAGCUAGGGAUGUGUGAGUGAUCAUGCCACAUAUACUAGCAUGUGGCUCAUUCAAGAUAAACCAAAAUAAAUGGGAAAAUCUACCUUAUCAAUAGAUCCAAACGUAACCUCUGCCUCUAACGUAGGCCUGUGCAAUUGCCAGGCUUCAUGCGACCUUCUAACCUAGGUUAUGGAAGCUCACCAAGAUCAUGGUACACUCCUUGCUUAUGCUGCUUGCCUAGCACUGCAAAGGACAGGGAGUCUCCUGCAUGCAUGAUCGCUGGCCUACAUUCAGAUUGGUGGCUCACUAACUCUGCAGAUCCAUACCCUCCCAACAUUUCUCUGAUGAAAGUAGGGAUGUUCUAUUCCAUAAUAAUAAUAUUUUUAUUGUUUAUACCCUGCCCAUCUGACUGGGUUGCCCUGGCCACUCUGGGCAGCUUCCAACACAUAUAAAAACAUAAUAAAACAUUAAACAUUUAUAUAUAUGAAAAAAUCCCUAUACAGUGCUGCCUUCAGAUGUCUUCUAAAAGUUGUAUAGUUACCUCCUUGGCUCAGGGUCACAUAACGCCAUACCAUCCAACGUUUCUCCAGUGAAAAGAGGGACAUUCUACCAUACCUUCCAACACUUCUCUGAUGAAAAUAUGGACAUCCUAAGGAAAAGCGGGACAUUCUGGGAUCAAAUCAGAAACUGGGACGGCUUCUGUAAAUCUGGGACUGUCCCUGGAAAACAGGGACACUUGGAGGGUCUGUCAGAUCUUCCCUAAUGUAUGCAUGGCCCAAGCAAUCUGCAAGUCACAAAGCCCAGUAACUGUAUCUUAAGUAAGAUGAUGUUUUCUGAGACCUUCAGCAUUUUUUCUUGUUUUCCUAUCAAUUCUUUUAAAUUGAAUCUCAAUGCACUAUCCAUUUCUUUCAAAUUCUUUAAAAUGAUAUAACAGAAAUGUCUUGUUUUCCCCAGCUUAAUGUUGAAAAUCCAAGUGAAAUCUCCACAGCAAACAACAGGUUUAUUGAUUUCAGGAGUCCACAGCACUGUUUUCUUGCCAGAAGGGGAAAAAGUUGGAAAUGAGCCAUCUUUAUUUUAAAGGCCUACUCUCUCCGCCACCCCCAUUACCCACCCCAAUCAACCUGUUGCCUCAGCAACCAAUGUCCCUGCUAUCUGGCAAAAGACGGCUUUCUUUGGUUGAAUUGCGACAUGAAGCUGAAAGGGGUGCAGAAGGGCAAACCAUGAAAACUCACCAUUUCAUUAUUUGAAAAUGUGAAUUGCUCUGAAAUGGAUCUGCACCAUGAGCUAGCCACAGCACCCCUCAACCCGCAUUCAAAUCCUUCAGUACCACAAUGCUCCAUUUCCGUUAAUUAAAUAAUUACACCAAACUGUCUAAAAGACAACAUUCAGCUGAAUUCAUGCAUUCCAAACUGUUCUUUGGUCUAAACGAAGCUGCCAUUGUUCUGCAAUGAAGGGUUUUGGUUUGUUUUUCUCUUAGCAAAAGGUGUUGUUGCUGUUUCUUCAAAGCGUUUAAUAUUCUGCGGAAAUUAUGGCAUUUUAUGUAAAUAGUGUAAAACACUAUCUUCAAAACCUCAGCUGUUCUUUUAAUCCGAUGAACUUGACCUUAUGAUCGAGUGCAGUUGAUGCGUCUCCAAGAUGGUGCUCAAAAAAGUUGAUUAAAAAAGGAUUGCUAGUGCUUAUCUGAGAUGGAGCCCAACAUUAUUAAUGGAAAAAGUAGAAAUAUUAAUUUGGUGGCUCCUGAUCUUGGCAAUCUGUCCAUCCGUAUAGAUUAUCUUGGCAGGCUAACUCUUGGAAGAAUCAGAAGGUGGUCAAAUGGUCCUGUUACAGUUCCACAAUGGUCCCAGGUGUUUACUUAGAUUUCCAUUCUAAAUCCUAAAGAUAUAAAUGGAUGUUUGAUUUCCCCCCGAGAUAUAUUUAGUGUAGUAUAUGAGAUCAUCAUCUUGCCCAGGGAUGAGGAACGUUAUUCGUGCUGAGGGCCAGAUGUCCUUGCGGGAAAGGGCCACAUUCCACAUUGCCCAACCCCUCCCCAAAAAGUGAAUGAAUAAUCAGAAGUAAAAAUAAGGGAAGGAAGAACAUUAGGCAGUUUAUUGAAUGUAAAGGGUUUUUAAAGAAGGAUGAAAGCCAUUCUAAAACUAUGUAAGAAUGGCUGUGGGGGGAGAGGAAUUCUAGUAAUGAACACUCCUCUCAGUGAUAGCUACCCUUCCCAAAAUUCCUUUUCUCAAAGACAAAUCAUUUUGGUUGGGAAAGUGACACCUGACAAAGAAAGAAGGCACAUUCCCCAUUUCUAAGGAAGAGUAUUUCUCAGGAAGAAAAAAAUUGCAAAUACCCAAACUAUUUCAACAAGCUUGGAAUGCAGUCAGUUUCCACUUCCGUCAAGGGGAGUCCACCCCCAUCAUGAUUCCAAAAAGACAAGCCUUACCAUCAGUGGUGUAGUGGAAGAGGAGCACAGGUGAGCUAUAGGGCCUCUAAAAUCCCAGGUUAUAUGAUGGGCCCUCCUUGCUGUGCAAAAUGAAUAGGCUUUCAAGUUUGGUUACGUGGCAGAUUAGCAUAUGAACCUACCUGGAUCCUGAGAUCAUCUUCUGAGGCCCUUCUUCGUGUGCCGCCUCCUCGAAAGGUCCAGAGGGUGGCAACACAAGAACGGGCCUUCUCCGCAGUGGCUCCCCAUCUGUGGAAUGCUCUCCCCAAGGAAGUUUGCCUGGCGCCAUCAUUAUACACCUUUAGGCACCAAGCAAAAAGGUUCCUUUUUAACCAGACCUUUGCCUGACUCGAUUUACAUUCUGUACCCUUUUUAAAAUGCUGGCUCUCUUUUGGGGGCGGGUAUUGGGCUGUUGUUGUUUUGAUUUUAUGUAUUUUUAUGUGAACUGCCCUGAGACCUUCGGGUAUAGGGCGGUGUCAGGGAACUGCCAUCGGAAGGAAGGGAGGUGAAAGGACUCAGACAGGUUGGAAGAGACUCAGCAGCUGAAGAGGGAACCAGCAAGGGGAGAGAAGCUGAACUGAGGGAGGUGAAAGGGCUCAGACAGGUUGGAAGAGACUCAGCAGCUGAAGAGGACACCAGCAGGGGGGAUGGCUCAGAGAUACUUCCAGCGAAAACAGUGGUGAGGUUUCCGGACCUCCUGUAGGGACACCCACUCCUCGCCGGAAACUGUCACGCAGAGAGUCCAGAAGACGUGUUUCCGUUAAGGAGCUUUUAUGUUGGAAGCGAUUACGAAAGCAACCACUGUCGGAAUCUUCUAGUGACUAGAGGAGCCAUGUCAGAGGGCCUCAGUCACAGACAGAGGUUUGUGGACUUGAACAAACUCUGAGGGAAGACGAUGGUACACACAAGCAGCUCAUCUUCCCAUCACAGCAUUCCGACAGUCUUUGAGCGCAGCUUGUGCAGGAGACGGCAGAAUGCGCCACCCAGCAGGCCCCGGCGCAGCAGGGGCUGGAGCGGGUCCAAGCCUGGAAGAAAGGUACCGGGUGUUGGAGGUCCAGCUGGCGCUGCAGGCGGCGAGGCUGGAGGAGAGGAGGGCUCAAGAUGCAGACAAAGGGAGAAAGCCACCCAGCUCGCCAGAAAGGUACCAGGAUUGGUGCAGAAAUUUGGGGGGGAGCCCAAAGACUAUCAUAGCUUUCGGACAGAAAUGCAAUAUGCCCUCAAUCUGCAGUUUGAUGAUUUCCCUGAUGAGGAAUCACGAGUGGCUUUUGUGAUUGGGCAUCUUGAAAAGGGCGAGAGACUGGGUUAGACCCCUGAUGGCAGCGCAUAGUGACGUCCUAAAGGACACGAUGAAGUUCUUUCGCGCCAUGGAUCUGAUGUUUUCCAGCGAUAUUGAAAAGGGAGUGGUGCGCAGACAGUUAAUGGCUUGCAAACAGGGAGCCGAUCUGUACGUGAGUACUGGACUGAGUUCACCAUGCUGAUACACAGAUUGGGGUGGGACUUAUCGGCGGAACCCAUUCAAAUGCUCUUUGAAGAAGGGCUUUCUUCGGCUGUGAAAGAUGAACUUUCCCGGGCGCCCAGGGCGGAGUCUAUGGACCAGCUGACCAAAUCAGCGCUGGCCAUAGGAGCGCGCCAGGAGGCGAGAGCAUUGGAGAGGCGGGAAGGGAAGGGGAACGUUGGAAGGAGUUCCGCAUUCCAGACAUUCCAGAGCCAACUUUCCCGCCGGCAGAGCCGAUGGAAAUCGGAACAGCGCGCGCGCGCAUGGUUUCAAAGCCCAGUGAGGGGGAAAAAGGAGGGAAAAGGCGCCCGGAAAUGCUAUCUCUGCCAACAGCCAGGGCACUUUGCCAGAGUCUGCCCCCAGAGGAAGGAAUGGCAAGGGAUGGUGGGAGCUGUGGAGGGAAGAGAGGAAAAAAAUACCGGAGCAACUAAAAGCCAACGCCUGGCUGCCAUUGUCGGGGCACAGCAGCCAGGCCAAAGAGCAGUGAAAGUGCCCACGCCAGAACCUCCUAAACCCGCCCUAGUGAUAGAAGUGACACUAGAGCUGCCAAGCGGACACCCUCUAACGCUAACGGCGCUGUUGGACCCAGGCAGCUCCUGCAAUUUCAUGAGCAAAGAGUUUGCAGCUGAACACCAGAGACAGCCGCUCCCUUUAAGCACCCCCCUGCAGGUAACCACGAUCGAUGGCAGGGAGCUGUUGGGAGGAGAAGUCAGCUUGCAGACCGUCCCAAUGAUAAUGAAGGUGGCAAGGCACACCGAACUAAUAGCGUUUAAUGUGGCCACCUUGGGAGGAGCUCCCAUUAUAUUGGGGAUGAGCUGGCUAGCGUUACAUGAUCCGCUGGUGGGCUGGCAUCAAAGAGUGGUUUCUUUUGGGUCAGCACAUUGCUUAGAACACUGCAAAGAGGAAAGGUUUUGGCAGGGGCCCAAGCCACCCUAGCAGGGACUGAAGUAACGGAGAACGUGAAGGUACCACGACAAUACGCAGAUCUCCGCGACGUCUUCAGCGAAAGGGAAGCUGACCAACUACCACCGCAUAGAGCCUUUGACUGUCAAAUCAAUUUGCUCCCUGGGGCACAGCUCCCUGUGGGCAAGCUGUACGCCAUGUCAGACAGAGAGAUGCAGGAGCUAAGAGAGUUCAUUGACAAGAACCUGAAGAGAGGGUUCAUCAGAGAGUCCAGGGCGGUGGGGGUCAGCCCAGUGUUUUUGUGGACAAAAAAAACACGAACAAGCCGAGACUGGUGUGUGACUUCAGGGCCUUAAAUGCAGUGUCAGAACCAGUGGCCUUCCCGAUGCCCAGGAUUGACGACAUUUUGACAAGGGUGCGGAAGGGAAAGAUUUUCACCAAGCUGGAUCUAAGGUGUGCGUACUACCUGAUACGAAUAAUGUAGGGUGAUGAAUGGAAAACCACCAUGUUCACCCCUUUAGGGGCAUUUGAAUACUUAGUUAUGCCCUUCGGUCUACAAGCAGGCUCCGCAACAUUUCAAUCGUUUAUGAACCACGUCCUGGGGCCGUUGCUUUACAAGAAUUGUGUGGCCUUCUUAGACGACGUGUUGGUGUAUUCUGAGAAUGAGGAGCAGCAUGUGAGAGACGUCAGAGAAGUGUUGAGCAGGCUGCAAGCCAACCAGCUGUGGGUGAAACUGGAGAAGUGUCAGUUUCAUACCAAGGAGGUGGAAUUCCUGGGGUAUCGCUUGUCUGACAAGGGGUUGGCCAUGGAUCCCGGCAAGGUCCAGGCGGUACUGGAAUGGAAAACACCCAAAACAAGGAAGGAUGUGCAGAGGUUUUUAGGAUUUGGGAACUUCUAUCGUAAGUUCAUCCCAAACUUUGCCCACCUGGCGGGGCCCAGUCCGGACUGGCUCAGCCGUAAGCCGAAGUUCGGGUGGACGGAGGAGGCGGAGCCCGCAUGUGAGGAACUAACAAGGGCCUUCGCCUCGGAACAACAGCUCCUGCAUGUGGAUUUACAAAAACCGAUGAGAGUGGAAACUGACGCAUCAGACAGAGCGGUUGGGGCGGUGCUUCUCCAGCCAGGGAAGGAGGAGUCAGAGUGGAGACCGUGUGCUUUUUUUUCGCGAAAGCUGAACAAAUCCGAGAGGAACUACACGGUGUAUGACCGAGAACUACUAGCCAUUCAUGAGGCGUUCCGGAAAUGGAAGCAAUCCAUCGUCAGCUCCAACUCAACUUAGAAAGGGCGAAGGAAGAAUACAAGAGGCAGGCAGACAAGAACCGAAGGGAAGGUGAAACCAUAAGGGUUGGAGAUAGGGUGUGGCUGUCAACACGAGGGUUGCCGUUCAAAGGAGGUUGUAAGAAAUUAAGACCCAGGAGGUUGGGUCCCUUUGAGGUCAUUCAACAGGUCAACCCAGUGGCUUUCAGGCUCCGGUUACCCAACCACAUGAAACUGCACCCAGUAUUUCACAGGUCGUUACUGUCACCGUACGAGGGGGGACGAGGAGGGAUGGCCACUCGGGGACCGGUCAUAGAAGAAAGAGAAUGCAGCAGUCAUGUGGCAGAAAUCCUUGAUGCCAGGUGGAAGGGGAAUCAGGUGGAGUAUUUGGUAGCGUGGGAAGGAGAACCGAGUCAGAAAACACGUGGGUAAUGGCCGAAGAUAUCAAUGACGAGGUAUUGAUAGAAACGUUCCAUCAAAGGUUCCCGAGGAAACCUCAGCCUGUGGAGAGGUUCCGGAGGGAAUACUUUGGGACCACUGAGGAGGAGGAGGAGUUGGAAGGAUUCCCAGAAUCGGAAGGGGAAGGGGAGAUGGACUCGGAGGAGGAGGAGUGCUUCGAGACCAGGAACCGCAACAGGUGGAGAGAAGUGUUCGAGACAUCGGAAGAUGAAGGAAGUUCAUUCCGGGGUUUUGCCUCCUCACCGCCCGUAGAGGAGGGCGAGAGGGGGUGAAGGGGGCCCUGGAGGGGAGGUGGAUGUCAGGGAACUGCCAUCGGAAGGAAGGGAGGUGAAAGGACUCAGACAGGUUGGAAGAGACUCAGCAGCUGAAGAGGGAACCAGCAAGGGAGAGAAGCUGAACUGAGGGAGGUGAAAGGGCUCAGACAGGUUGGAAGAGACUCAGCAGCUGAAGAGGAAACCAGCAGGGGAGAGAAGCUGAACUGAGGGAAAGGGAGCUGGGGGAUGGCUCAGAGAUACUUCCAGCGAAAACAGUGGUGAGGUUUCCGGACCUCCUGUAGGGACACCCACUCCUCGCCGGAAACUGUCACGCAGAGAGUCCAGAAGACGUGUUUCCGUUAAGGAGCUUUUAUGUUGGAAGCGAUUACGAAAGCAACCACUGUCGGAAUCUUCUAGUGACUAGAGGAGCCAUGUCAGAGGGGCUCCGUCACAGACAGAGGUUUGUGGACUUCAACAAACUCUGAGGGAAUACGAUUUUACGCACAAGCAGCUCAUCUUCCCAUCACAGGCGGUAUAGAAAUUAAAUUAAAAAAUAAGAAAUAAGAAAAAUAGAGGCAGUCAGAGGCUGUAUACUCACUUCAGUGCGGUUCCUACUUUAUGCCAGCAGUUUAACACCAGCAAGACUGUUAAGAAGACUGCUUGCAAGUUAUGCUAGCCAGUUUGUUUGCAUUUCUAAUUGAAGGCUAGAGGUUGCAUUUCAAUUGGCUGAGGAUCUUUUGUGAGAGCUCAAUAUUGUUGCCCGCCACCCCAAUCGCGGACCAGCAGUGUGAGAUUCCAGGAGUUUCAGGUGCUUAUCCAGGGCUAAUGUUUCCUUUUGGAGUGAGGCAAAGCACAGACUGUGGUUUAUUUGUGACAAUUGGGUUUAUUUAUACAUAUUUUCAACCUGAGCUCACAGCGGAUAGACUCACAGCAUUAGCAACCCAAAAGGGUAUUGUUUCUCCCAUAGCUGCAGCAUUGGAUUCAAACUGAAAUCAAACAUUGCUCCCUCUCUACCUGUCCAGCAUACAGCUUUUCUUCUAACCAAAUUAUUAUUAUUAUUAUUAUUAAUAAUAAUAAUAAUAAUAAUAAUACCCCAUCUGAUGGCAACUUUCAACUCUAAACUCUGGCUUCAUCCUUCUAACGAAUUACAACUGAUUUUCCAUCUCACACAGAGCUCCUUUUCCUUUGUUCUCCUAAUGGCUCAUCGCCCAGUCAAUCACCUCAACCCAGGAAAACAGCCUAGCUUAUAUUUGUAGGAUCUCACAUGCAGCCUGCUUUCUUCCUCCCCCCUCAACUCAUAACAAUUGCUUUUAUAAGUUGAACCCAUGCUGUCUCACUUGUGUGAGACAGCAGUGGUGCUUUGUCACAUCUCUAGGAUUGUCCUCAGGAGAUUCCUGGAGAUUGAGGUUCAUUCCAAGGCAACCUCCAACACCGGAGUGAAGGAAGUCAGGACAAGACCAUAAUGGAGGCUGCACCCCUUCACACUCCAGCUCCUUCCUUGGCUCCCCCUCUCCCCUUGCACCUUCACCCGCCCACCACCACAGCUGCCACCUCCACCACAGCUUCUGUGGCCUCCGCCACUGCUGUACUUCCAGAAGCUGGUGUCACUUCCAAGAAGUACGUCAGCUGGAAAGCUGCGGUGGAAGGAGGAAGAAGUGGUGGCUUGCAGCAGGAAGCUAAAUUUUACUUACAUUUUUUCCUUUUUUUGUCCUGACACAGCGUGGGGUGAAUGCACAUCUUUUGGUCCUGCACUCUGAUACGGCCAAAGCACGGGAGCCAACAUGGACAUCUGGGUUUGGGAUCUAAAGUCAGGGCAGCUUCUGUAAAUCUGUGGUGCCCCACUUAAAACAAUAUAGUUGCAUGGUAUGCUAUUGGGUACUGGGGAGGUAUAGCCGGAUGAGAAUUGCAAGGACAAGAUACUGAGGCCAAGGGGCUCAUGUUUUCCUUCUCGCGUUGAAAUUCUCAACCCACGUGUAUAAGGUCUUCUGUGUGUCAGAAAUGGCAAACAUGGGUAUGUGAGGAGAACCUGAGCUUACAGGGUUAAACAGCUCAGACUGUACGCCCUGCCUACAGUUGGGAGGGGGGAGCUACGUCAGUUCCGAGAGACUAAAGUCUUUGUUCUGUCUCUCUACUUUCGCUUUUGAGGAGAGAGGACGUGUUUUUGCGAUGCUGUUCGCUGUGAUAGAUAAUGGAUAGCCUGCUGUAAAUAAAACUGCUUUUAGCUGCUAAUAUCCUGAGUGGACUUCAUUUAAGCACACUGAAGAAUGCACUGGAGUGUUUUGGUUUCCUCUUACCGCUGUUGAGACUCUGCUAUGCUCAGAUGAGUCGGACUCUUGGAAUGCAGAGGCCUACGCAAUGGGGGAAGCGUGCCGGACGCUUAUCUGAGCAAUAAAUCAAGAUAUCCCAGAGGUUAUGGGGGCAGUAAUUGCAAUUAGAGGAAGCCUGCUUUGAUGUGCUGUGUGCUUAAGAAGGCUGAGAAACUGAGAAGCUGUUGUUUUUGCUGCUGGAAGGCAAUAGUCCUGCUUUGAGGCUUCGCCUGGAAAAAAGCAGGGAAGCUGGCUGCAAAGCUGGAUGCAAGCUGUGUGCUGCAAAGAGCCACUGGAGGCCUCUCCUUUGAAGCUGGCUGGUACGCGUGAGUACUUCAAAGCCCCAAUGAUGGGAGCACUGGGGGAGGAGAUGGCUGAGCUCCAGGACUUUUAUGAUGUCCCGUUUGAAAAGCUCACAACCCAGUCCUGGGAUAUCUGGGUUAGAAGAGUCAGGGGGUGGUUUUUGGCCACAGGGUUCUGGAGUAUAGCCCAGAAGGAGCCCGCCCCACCCAUGCCAGUUGCUGCUGAAGAAGGAGGAGCAGAAUGGGAGGCUGCUCUCCUGGAAGAUAGAGAGCUGAGAAUGCAAAGGGAGCUCUGCAUGUUGAGAGCAAGCGUGGACGCUAUGCUGUUGCCCCACCUGGAGGGCAUUGAGUCGGCUCAGGCCGCCUGGCAGGUGCUGAGGAGUCUGUGUGAGAACUCAGCAGGAGCCCAGGGCCGGGAGAAAGCCGAGAGCAGGCAGGAAGCUGAGAGCCCAGAGGGGGCUACUGGCCAUGUUCCUAAAGUUACAGCUGGGAGUAGCUGCUUUGUCUCCGAGGGGCCGUGUGAUGUUGAGGCCUACAACCAGAGUGCUGGGGAGCGUGCAGGCCCAGGCUGUGCACCCAAAGGUGGGGGUGCAGGGAACAAAGNNNNNNNNNNNNNNNNNNNNNNNNNNNNNNNNNNNNNNNNNNNNNNNNNNNNNNNNNNNNNNNNNNNNNNNNNNNNNNNNNNNNNNNNNNNNNNNNNNNNUGCUUAUCCGUCAGGGAAUCAGUCCAGGAUUCUGCUCAGCAACAGUGCUGAAUUCUGUGAGCAGAGUGGCUGGGCAAGGAUACAUGGGAACCCUGACAUCCUGUCAGAGAGUCUGCUAGACUCUGCUGAUGAAGGAGAGGAAGAGGUUGAACCUGCUACUGAGGCUCAGAGUCCAGGCCCAGUGCAGGCAGAGGGAGAACUUCUCCCAAGGCUGUGAAGAUCGAGCAACGCAGUGCUCCAUCUUCCCCCACAGGUUCGGCUGAGAAGUCCAGAAGGCGCAGUAAGUCAGAGGGAGCUCUCUGAUGCCAAGGACGUUCUGGCUGGCCCUAGUGGGUCAGAGGGGUUCCUGAGUAGUGCUGCGCCGUUCAACACGGACGACCAAGGGAAACCUCCUGAAAGGUUUGCCGUCACUAGUGUGUGGGUCGGAAUGGCACAGUGUGAACCCGAGAGUUUUGAGGAUGUUCAGAAACUGCCUCAGGAAGAAGCCAGGAAAUGGCAUGAGGCGAUGCAGAAGGAGAUGAACUCAAUGGAGUCUCUAGGUGUGUUCUCCCUCACGAAGUUGCCGGUGGGUGAAAAGGCAGUGGGUAGUCGCUGGGUUUACCGUCUUAAGCCCACAGCGACAGGAGAACCGCAGUAUAAGGCCAGAUUAGUGGCGAGAGGAUUCACACAGCAGAGUGGGUUGCAUUAUACGGAGAGUUAUGCGCCCACGUGUAAGAGUGAGUCUCUACGCUUGGUCUUGGCCAUCGCUGCACAAAGAGGUUUGCUGGUGCAUCACUUUGAUGUGGAUGUUGCUUACUUGAACUCAGACCUCCAGGAGGAUCUGUACAUGCUUCCUCCUCCAGGGUUUGAGGGCAAUGAGCGAGGUACUGUGUGGAAACUUCACAAGUCAAUUUACGGCCUGAAGCAGUCGGCCAGGAAUUGGAACUUGUGCCUGAAUGAAGCUUUGGAGAAGCUAGGUUUCAGGAAGAGUCUUGCUGACAGUUGCUUGUUCCUUAGGGGAUCAGGAGACUCACAGGAACUGGUGUUGUUUUACGUUGAUGACAUCAUCCAUGUUGGAAAGGCAGACAAACAGGUGCAGAAGUUUGCCAAAGAGCUUGGGAAGCGGUUUCAGCUCAAGGACCUGGGUGCAGUAAAGAUCUACCUAGGUGUCCAGAUAGCGAGAACUGAGGAUGGUAGCUUCUUGCUAAGUCAGAAAGGCAAGAUUGAGCAGUUGCUGGAGAAGUUCAGAAUGUCCGAUUGUGCAGGGGUUCGGACACCCAUGGAGACAGAACUUCGUGAAAGAUAGCCAGCAAGCAGAAAGUGCUGAGUUUGAGAAUGCUGAGCUCUUUCAGUCAGCUCUAGGUAGUCUGUUGUAUCUGUCCCAAUGGAGCAGACCAGACAUUGCCUUUGCCACCAACCUGCUAAGUAGGAGAGCGUCAAAGCCCAGUGUGAGUGCUUGGCACGGUAUCAAGCGGGUACUGCGCUACCUGCAGCAUACCAAAGACUUCUGUCUUAAGCUGCCAGCUGAAGGUGAGGCGAAGCUCACAUGCUAUGCGGACAGUGACUGGGCGAAUUCGCAGGACCGCAAGUCUGUGUCUGGGUUGAUGGUAAAGUUUGGGAAGUCACUAGUUGGGUGGAAGUCCCGGAAGCAAAGUCUCAUUGUGCUGUCUUCUACUGAGGCUGAAUUCAGUGCACUGUCAGAUUUGUGCCGAGAACUAGAGUUCUAUAGAUGCUUGGUGCAAGAGAUCUAUGGGGAUUGUAGCUUGCCCAUCAUGGUUUGGGAAGACAAUCAGCCUUGUUUGAAGUUGGUUGAAUCUGCGCAAUUUAAAGCGAGAACCAAGCAUCUGGACAUACGUUUCCGAAAUGUGUGUCAGAGUGUUCAGUCAGGUUUGAUACGACUGAAGUACUGUGCCAGUCACAGUAACCUGGCCGAUGGAUUUACCAAACCUUUAAGCUUCCAGCGUCAUGGGGAGUUUUGUGGUGGUUUGGAGUUGGGGGUAAGUUCUGUACUUACGUUCCCCACAGUAGCGCAGGGCUAGAGGGGGUGUGAGGAGAACCUGAGCUUACAGGGUUAAACAACUCAGACUGUACGCCCUGCCUACAGUUGGGAGGGGGGAGCUACGUCAGUUCCGAGAGACUAAAGUCUUUGUUCUGUCUCUCUACUUUCGCUUUUGAGGAGAGAGGACGUGUUUUCGCGAUGCUGUUCGCUGUGAUAGAUAAUGGAUAGCCUGCUGUAAAUAAAACUGCUUUUAGCUGCUAAUAUCCUGAGUGGACUUCAUUUAAGCACACUGAAGAAUGCACUGGAGUGUUUUGGUUUCCUCUUACCGCUGUUGAGACUCUGCUAUGCUCAGAUGAGUCGGACUCUUGGAAUGCAGAGGCCUACGCAAUGGGGGAAGCGUGCCGGACGCUUAUCUGAGCAAUAAAUCAAGAUAUCCCAGAGGGUAUCUGUUAUCAUAGGAGAAAAUAGAAACAAAUGUGGUCUGUUUCACAAGGCUAGAAUGAAGACAUGAUCAUGGCUUCAGUUUAAAAAAGAUCUGAAGUUUGAUUUUCAAGUCAUUUGAAGUCUCCUUGCUUUGUGAUGUCACUUUCUCACGACUGUAUGAAUGGCUCGCUCAUGAGGACUAUUAUGAAUGUCUGUUUGGGUGUUGCUCAGUGGUUGUGAUGGCCUGGGAAUCUGAUUCAGAAGCUGAAUCUGAGGAGUCCCAGCCUGCACAGGAGUCCACGCCUCCUGGGCCGGCUGAGCCGGGGCAGGGGCUUGAAUCUGAGGGGCCUGCACCUGUGCCGGGUCCUCAGGAGCAGACACCAGAUGUAUCCACUCUGGCUCCGGAGGUGAUUGAGGACCCAUUGCCUGCAGGUGCGCCUCUCCCAGAAGCUCAGGGCAGAGAGGCAGAGGGAACUGGUUUCUCUCAGGAGGAGUGCUCGCCCUAAGGCCAGGAGAGGCGGGUCACCUGUGGGCCGGGACUGCCCUAGGCCCCAGAGGAGAUAAAGGCCAGUCAGCCCAGUCCCAGGUUGCGGGAGCAACGUUGUUGGAAACCUGUUUCUGCCAGCACCCAGACCUGUUCUUCCGGAGUUCCCGACCACGCCCGGCUUCUUGCUUUGGACCCCACUUCACCCUUGGUGGACAGUCUCCAGACCCUCGACCCAGGAUCAGACUCUGACCACGCCUCUUGGUAAACCCCCCCCCCCGGGUCCAGCACAGUGGUAAAGCAUCUGCCUUGCCCACAGAAGUUCCGAGGUUCAUCUCCUGGCAUCACUGUGCAGGGAGACUUCUCCCUGAAACCCCGGAGGACCUCUGCUGAUCAAUGUACAUAAUACUAUACUAGACAGAUGAGCAGCAAUUUCAGAUGCUCCUCUGUUUGGCAACAUUCUUUCCAUGCUCCAGAUCCAAAUGUGUGAUGGCUCUGUGAAUUUAAGAGGUCGUUUCAAAGCAAAGGAAGAGAGCAUUUGGCAACAAUGCAGGCAUGUUCCUCAGUUCAGAGAUCUGGCUGGAAACAUUCAUUUGUGAUUCGAGGACCUGCCCCCUUAGCUUGGGAUAAGAAAGACACAUGGACACAGUAUGAUAGGUUUAUGGGCUGGAAAAGGCCACAAAUUUAUUGAUUACAGCAUGUGAGAGGUAUUGGCUUAGGCAUUGGAAUAACAGCAACGUUGACUCCACCCACUCAGUGAGGGGUGAGCCUAGCGGGGCUUAAUCACCAGUAGGGGGAGCCUGUUGAUGCAAAUAUAACUGUAAGCUUUCCCCUGAUGUCACCGGGGGUCGCGCCAUGGCCACCAGUCCAGCAGGGCAUUGGACAGGAUCCACGACCGCUGGAUUCCUUAGACAGACGCCUCCAAACCUUGCCGCUGAAGCGGAUGCCACUUCUGAGGAGUCUGCUCCAAAGCCGCGAUGCUGUUUGCUAGCUGCAUAAAAAAGGUGUGCCGAUAAGCUGGGGAGAAAAACGAAGCCUUCGAAGUCCUGUGACUGGCAAGCUUGCAGAAUGACGAAGUCUUCAAAGACGGGUGAUCCGAUGAAGCAACCGGCAGCGCAAUGAGGGAAGGAGCUGCUGCGGCCGUGUUUAAGCGGCUAAACCCCGCCCCCGAGCCUGCCGCUGAUAGGCAGGCUCCCUGGGGGCAUGGCGCGUCAGCGAUGAUGACGAGCAGGGGCCGGAACGCCCCCUGCUCCGCACGGGAACGGUUCCCGAUCACAACGCCUCCCCUCCGUGAGGAUGAGAGGAUUUCUGCAUCACCCUCCUCAAGAUAGGAAAGAGCACAUUCUCCAGAUGAUUCCUUCACCCCAUUGUAGCUGGAUCUCUGAAGUUAUGACCGCAGCAUGAGCAUCCAGUUUGGGUUCAAUUGCUCUCAACAGAGAGUGCAUAAAGCAAAGCAUAGCCUCAAGAAACUGGGCAAGAGCAUAGCGGAACUUGGUUUAGAGAUGCCGUUUCAGAGUCUCAAAGACCGUACGGAACAAGCCUUGGAUUAAAAACACCGGGCAAGGAGACAAGCAUAUUUUGGCUAGAACCAAAUGAGUUUUGCUGAAGUUCAGAGGAAGUAGAAGGGCAAAAGUAAAUGAAAUCUUGCUUAUUCUAAUUGGAGCUGAAAGUCUAUCCCUUUGGAUUUAUUUAAACAUAUUACUAAAAUCAUGGCUGGCUCCAGGAUGUUGAAUGUGUCAAGGGUAGGGCCCGGUUUCUCUCACACCCAGUCACACACUCUCUCUCUCGCCAUCCUCUCUCUUACACACACACACACACACACACACACACACAAAAUGAGACCACAUACCGCUUCCAAACACAUUUCCUUGUGCUUUGCAACUUGUGGGCCAGCAGGUUACUCUCUGGGCAGUAUCCAAUUAGCAUGGAUUUAUUUUUGCACAAUGAAACUCGCCCAAACCGCACACCAUAGCCACGUCUAUUCUGGAGGGUUCGGGGUGGGGACCUGGAACAGAUGGGGUGGGGGCAUGGGAGAGGAGAAGAAGAUCCACUGCUCCAAUGUAAAUCCUGUUACUAACAGAAUGAAUGAGUUCCUUAGCACUACAUUUAAUAAAAAUGUCUCUGUGCCCCCUCUUACUGCUUCUGUCUUUCUGACUGGCUCCACCGUUAGAGCCUGUUGGUGAUUUCUUGAUAAUUUCUCAGGCUGUCACCCAGGUAAAGAAAAAAUUUAAAGUCCUUUUGGUUUCUUUGUGUGGAAUGAGUCUACAUGCAUACACUUCUGGUCUGUUUCUGGUCUUUUCAGGGCUUUUUGUCAACCGGAACACACCAGAAUUCAGGUGGGCGCCAUUGCCAUUAUCAGAGGACAAGGUGUGUUCCAGCACUUAUUUUUCUUGAAAAAUAGGUCUAUUUCAUUUCCUCAUAUGUUCAUUCUUUAAUAUGUUUUGUCUGGUUUCUGCAUUCAUCUGUGUGGUUGUUGUUUUUAACAAAAUAUUUAAAUGUGUAUUCUUGAACUUAUUUUCUCAAGAAGUAUGUAUUUCUAAGCAUAUUUUUUCUCAAAUAUCUAAACACACUUUAUGUCGGAUCGAGGGAUAACUUUGUUCCAAUCUGCAAGAUGCAGAAUGGGCCAGGAGGACAGUACAAUAGUUCAGCAGUUUAUCAGAUUUCAAUGAGCUUUGUUUGCUGUUAGAUUUGGACAAAUACAUUCAGCAGCGUAGCAUACCUUCUGAAAUUUCUCUGAUGAAAAUAGGGACGUCCAGUGCUAUUUUUCUAGAAAAAGAGGUUCCGGAACUCACCAUGAACACCUCCCUCAUUCUCUUAGAAUACCAAUGGCGCCCACCUGAGAGGUGCCAGAACUGAGUUCCAGAGAGUUCUGGCUAGGGGAAAAAAGCCCUAGGGAUGUCUUAUUCCAUACCUUCCAACAUUUCUCCAAUGAAAAUAGGGACAUUCUAAGGAAAAGCGGGACAUUCUGGGAUCAAAUCAGAAACGGGGGUGGCUUCUGUAAAUCUGGGACUGUAAAGCUGCUAGGAGGCAGGGAAGCAAGGAAUGUGCAAUCAAUCAGGAAUCUGCCUUUUCCCAGGUCAGACACUUUGUCUGUCCAGGUCAGCCUUUCCCUAACAUUGUUCCCUCCAGAUGUUUUUGACUGCAUCUCUCAUCAGCCACAACCAGUGUGGCUGAUGAUCAGGGCUGAUGGGAGUUGUACUCUAAAACCUCCGGAGGACACCAGAUUGGUGAAAUGCUGGUGUAGCCCAAUGUUGCAAUGGUUCUCCAUGAACUCAAGCAGAGGGUCUUUUCAUUUCCUUCCUCAGCCUGGAGAUGCCAGGGACUAAAUCUGCAGCCUCUGGCAUGUGAAACAAAAGUGUUCUUCCGUCACUGAGCUAUGGUCCCUUCCCUUCAAGCUUCAGAACUACAUUAUUCCAGUGACCAUCUGAUGUAAAAGAAGUUAUGCAGACUAAGGUGACCCAGGAAAAAUGAUUUGCCAAGCAGGAGGCAAGGGCUGAAGACCAAUGCCCAAGAAAGACCAUGAAACACCAUGAUAAGCAAAUAGUGAGCAUCCAGCAGCCUUCUGAGAGGACUGUUAAGUCUACCAAGAGACCUGAAAGAGUGGAGAUUUUUACUUUAGGGGUUACAGUAUCCAGGGGGUGUCAACUUGAAUAAAAUAUUGGGCGCUUAGGUAAGCCCUGCCCCACAUAAUCAAUCACAAGAUACAGCACACACCAUCUCAAUGGCAAAGUCCAUCAAUUUUGGGGGAAUCAGCCACCUCAAACAUUUUAGGGGGGCGAAGGGAGCUCAGUCCCUAGGAGUUGGCUCCUAUGAGAUUAUUUUACAGCUGGUAUUAUGAUUUAGAAACAACAGCAAUUGCCGUACUUGCAGUUUCUCAUUGAUCCUAAUUUCAUAAAGUUUAGCAUAGCGAAAGUGUGUUGUCCUGUUCAUGACCACAGACUGUGCUAGCCUGAGACUCCCCUCCCCUAAAAACAUACUCAACACAGCCGUUGUUUUCUGAAUUGAUUUUGCUGUCUCAGCCUCACUAAAGCAUCGAUGCUUUUUUGGCUUCCAACUGAAUGAACAAUUUCCUAGUUAGACACACUGGAUUUGGAGUUGGGUCAAUAAAAGCUUUACUGUGCCCCUUUCUCUUCCCUCACAGAGCAUACAAAAGAGCACUAAAUUCCAUUCAUCCUUUCACUGGCCACUGUGGAAUAUUGAGCAACGCAGUUUUUGGCUUGGAUGAAGAAACAUGGCAAAGAACUGGAAGCGGCACAAAUAGGAAUUUUCUAUUUCCCAUGCUCGCUUGGGGAUGCAUUUGAAUUUCCUGCACUUUUUAACAGUUUGUCUCUGCCACCAAAUUGCUCUGGGAAGCAUAACACAUUAGGUAUCAAAAGAAGGUUUAGCUUAAUCCCGGUGCAUCUUAUGUGGUUAACUGUAAGUUAUUUGCAAAGAAUCCACUGUGAGCGCUACUUGGCAGUUGAUUUAAAUGCCAAGGACUGUAGAACCAGUUUGUGAAAGCUCUCGCUCUCACUUGCACACAUUGGGAAGAGGGGAGGGGAAUGGCGAGCUCUAAGCACUGCAGGUUGGUGCUGUUUUUUUAAAAAAAGAAAGGAAGAUUGUUUUCUUUAAUCCUCCUGAGUAGCAAAGCCAGUUUCUCCUAAAAGUUCUGCAAAAUUGCACAGCUGCUUAUAGCAGAGGUUUUCUACCAGUGUGCUGUGGCACACAGCGUGCCUUGAAUGGUGGUCAUGAGUGCCGUUGGCAACACUGGUCUCUGUCCUUCUUUUUUCCCACCCUCCUCUGAUGCCCUCUUGCAUACGGUUACCAGAUUUUUAUUUUUGGGAAGUUUUAGGGAUGUUUUUAAUAUUUAAUGUUGUAUUGUUUUUAACACUUGAUUGGAAGCUGCCCAGAGUGGCUGGGGAAACUCAGCCAGAUGGGCAGGGUAUAAAUAAAUUAUCAUCAUCAUCAUCAUCAUCAUCAUUAUUAAAGCUGAGAAGCAACAGGGAGUCAGUAGUAGGGAUGGUGAGGCAAAAGACCCUGGGCCCAAGAACACAUGCAUAUUGUACAAAGGUGCAAAGCCCUUCUUUCUCACCCUGUGAAACAUAAAUGCGCAGAGUUUUUAAAAAACCUGGCAACAGUGCGCCACCCGCCCAUGACUCCUGAGCCUCCCCCAAUCUCCUGCCUCCUUUCCUUUGUUUUGACUGAUCGGGGGAGGCUCAGGAGUUGUGGACGGGCUGUCAUUGUCCAGUUUUUUUAAAAAACUCUGUGCAUUUAUGUUUCACAGGGUGCGAAAGAAGGGCUUUGCACCUUGCCUGGCAGAGAAACUGUGCACCUUGCGCCCCCCCCCGGGCAAUGGCUGUCCGCCUGCGACUCCUGAGCCUCCCCCGAUCCAGCAAAACAAAGGGGGAAGGGGGCAGGAGAUCCGUACCGCUGGACAUCCCCGGUUCCCCUUCAGCAGCGAACAGCUCCUGAAGCCAGCCAAACCCAACUGCGCUAGCAAGCUGGCUCUGGGCUGCUGAGGCUGCCGCUGCCAUGUUUCCCGGGGACAGAUUUGCAAAUCUGGGGACUGUUCCUGGGAACCCAGGACGUCUGGUAACCCUAGAAGAAGAGGAAGAAGAGUUUGGAUUUGAUAUCCCACUUUAUCACUACCCUAAGGGGUCUCAAAGUGGCUAACAUUCUCCUUUCCCUUCCUCCCCCACAACAAACACUCUGUGAGGUGAGUGGGGCUGAGAGACUUCAGAGAAGUGUGACUAGCCCAAGGUCACCCAGCAGCUGCAUGUGGAGGAGUGGAGAUGUGAACCCGGUUCACCAGAUUACAAGUCUACCACUCUUAACCACUACACCACACUGGCUCUUGCGUCUCUGCCUCCCAAAGGCUUGCACAACUGUUUGUUGCAGCAGCUCUGGCUACAAGCUCCGCACCGCAGGCGAAUGGUGUCUCAGGGGCUGGUCAGAUGUUGCUGGUUGCCAGGAACUGAGGCAGCCUUGGAGUAAACAAGCAAGCAAGUAGUUGAGGGAGCCCAGCCAGCUGGUCUACCAACCCUUGCUAUUGGGAAUGGACAGACAAGUCCCAGGCCCCUGUGGGGCAAGGCAGGGCAGAUUAGAGACCAAGGGUGGCAGCAGCACCUGCCCAGAGGAGAGGAGAGGAGGCUGAGGGAACACUCCACAAGGGAGGGUGUUUGAAAAGGGUGAAAAGGGUGAGAGGCUGGCAGCUCUGUAGGCAAGGGGUGACAUAACUGGGUUCCUGAGCCCCACAGGGGAACCGCAGAAAGAAUAGAAUUGGUCAAGGGAGCCAUGAACUCAGAAAGGGUGGAAACCUCUGGCUUACAGUGAUCACAUUCAUUGUUAGGCUUAUUCGUUAAAUAUAGAAAUAAAAACAAUGACAACAAGUUCCAGAACAAAAGGUCGCAAGUAGUCAUGGUGACUGACAAUGUUACAGUUACUAGGAACUAGGGAUGGGGCUUUUUUAAAAAAUGAAAAAAGAAAAGAAAGAAUAAUAAUAAUCAUCUCCAUGUUGAACUUAUCCCCAUGGAUGUUUUCUAGUUUUUGUUUUCCUCCUUGAUCUUAAUUAGAAGUGACUUGUUUUUUUACUGGUUCUACUAAAAAUAUGAAUUAUUGCAUAUUAUAUGCACUAUAAUCCUGCUAUACACAGCAAGGUUCCUAAAGGAACCAGCACAAGAACAGAUGCAUGCAACAUUUCAUAUAACUAUAAAAAGCUCUCAGUUACUAAUGCAUGAAAUUAUGCUUACAGAAAUAUAAUACCGAAUGGGAUUGACUCUGUUAUAUUUAUUAUAUGCAUGAUAUACCUCUUUUUUUUUUUGCAUGCAAUUUUACAUUUAACUUGUAUAGAAUUCUUUUGUGUGUUGUUCUUGUUUAAGUUUCACAACGCAUAAGAGGCUUGGAUAUAACUUGGGUGGCCAAUGCAAGAAGAAGGUAAAGGUAAAGGGUAAAGGGACCCCUGACCAUUAGGUCCAGUUGUGGCCGACUCUGGGGUUGCGGCGCUCAUCUCGCUUUAUUGGCCAAGGGAGCUGGCGUUUGUCCGCAGACAGCUUCCAGGUCAUGUGGCCAGCAUGACUAAGCUGCUUCUGGUGAACCAGAGCAGCACACGGAAACGUCAUUUACCUUCCCGCCGGAGCGGUACCUAUUUAUCUACUUGCACUUUGCCGUGCUUUCAAACUGCUAGGUAGGCAGGAGCAGGGACCGAACAAGCUCACUCCGUUGUAUGGAUUCGAACCACCGACCUUCUGAUCGGCAAGUCCUAGGCUCUGUGGUUUAACCCACAGUGCCACCCGUGUCCAUAGCACCAUCAUCCCCACCCAGCCACAAAGCUCACUGGAUGACCUUGGCCCAGUCACCAAGGAUGAAACAGGGAGGAGAACCAUGUGACCACCUUGAAAUCCUUGAGGCAGUGUGUAAAUUUAACAAGCAAACAAACAAAGCUCAACAUAGUAAGCUGUGUAGAAAUCCAUUCAGGGUGGAUUUCCCCUCCAUCCCUGCUAGGAGCAGGAUUGUAUUCAUAAGUAGCUUGCUGGAUACGGCAGGGCUACUUUCUGGCAGGUGUGUUGCUGUCACUUACCAGGAGGUUCAUGGUGGCAGGAAGGACACUGCCAGAGCUCAUUUGCACCAUGCUGACCUCCUCACCAAUUUGACCCUCCAGGAAAGCAACAGAGACCCACCAGUCCAUAAACUAGCAUGGCAGCUCCAUCCUACCUGGUCCCCAUUCUGCUGCACAUCAUUAAAUUGGAGGUGGGGAACUUACACAGGGGAAACGGUAGCUUGCCUAAAUCUGCUUGUUGAGUUUGUGGCCAAGAUGACAUUUCAGCCAGGGGUAUCCCAGAUUUGAUGUCUACUCUUAGCAACUUCAUCACAUAAGAUUUCAGAUCUCUUUUUCUUUUCUUAAAAAAGUUUUCUUUAUAGAUUUUUCAAAAUACCAUCUAAUUUUAAAAAGAAAAAGAAAGAAAAAAGAAAGAGGAAAAAGGAGAAAAGAAAAACGAAAAUUCAACCUAUUUCAAUCAAUUCAUCAAAUACUUUAUUUUAGUCAACUUCCCUUCCACCCUUCCACGGUUUCCUCAAAUUGUUUAUUUCUGCUGCAUAUUCUGCUUAUUCUAAUUAUUCAUACCUCCAUAUUUUUUUCACAUUGCAUUUUUAUUUUUAUUUUACUGCUGAGCUUACUCCAAACCGGCUAGUGUUUUAACAUUCUUACAAUGAUUUCUUAGAUAAUCUACAAAUGGUUUCCAAUCCUCUUUGAAAGCUGUCUCUUCUUGUUCUCUAAUUUUACUUGCUUAACAAGUUUAACAUGAGGUUUGAGUUCAUCUGCUGAUUUUAUUUAUAUUUUUGAUACAAACAAUUAUGUUCACGUGUUUGAUUUUAUUGGUUUUUUUUUAAAAAAAAAUAUUUUAGAUUGUUCUUUGAAAACCACUUAGAGGUUUUUUUGUUGAGUAAGUUGUAUAUACAUUUUGUUAAAUGAAGAAAUAAGUAAAUUGAAUCACCUUAUACUCAAAAUUUAAUCUCUGGUGCAGAAUGAAGUCUCAAGGGAGUAGUCCAACGUCUACUAAACUCCCUACAGGAAAGACCCACCUAAACCCAACACUUUUUUUUCCCAGAAGAGAAUGAAAAUUUUCCUAUUUUGGUAAGCUUUUGCAUGAAGGGUAGCAUUAACUUUCUCAUUGCCAAGGUGAGAGUUUACAAUGUGGAUAUAUGGUGGUUUUUAAGGUUGCUACAUUUUAUUGUAAGCUGAACAAUAUAACACAACACGAUGGCCAAUAACAAUGACACUAAACACUAUUUAUAGACUAAUACAAAUGAUCAGAAUUUACAACCAAAGUCUCUAAAUCUUGACCAAUCACUGUAGAAUAAUUCAAAAGUUCGAUAUAUACAUAAUCUGUCACCAAAUAUCGCCUGGACAGAGUUUCCGAAUAACCAUCUGUUUCAUUCAAUGCUUCAUCAGCCAAUAUUGAUCAAUUCUCCAUCAGCCAGACUUGUAAGAAUUAAUAUGAGAAGGAUGCAGUUCAGUUUCUUAACAAGCCAAUCUUACAUGUAAGCAAAUAUAAACACUGUAGAAAAUAUGCUCUGGAUCAGUGCUCAUAUGAUACUGUAGUCACUGAUGAACUCUGUUCCAGCAAUAUUUGGUGGCAGAUUAUGUAUAUAUCGAACUUUUGAAUUAUUCUGCUGUGAGUGGUGAAGAAGAUUUAGAGACUUUGGUUGAAAUUUCUGAUCAUUUGUAUUAGUCUAUAAAUAGUGCUUAGUGCCGUUGUUAUUUACCAUCGUGUGGUGUUAUAUUGUUCAGCUUGUCUAUAUUGCAACACAGGGGUUCGUUUACAGAUUACAUUUUAUUGUAAGUCAUUUUGGGUUUUCUCUCUUUUAAAAAGAAAAAUAGGUUACAUUUUUAGAAAUAAAUGAAACAGGGCUUUUGAAUUAGAGACUCAAGUUAGAUUUGCAUGACUUAUAUUUCCUCCACAGCAGUCUUUUUUUUCUUUUUUUUUAAUUCAAGAAGUGCUACAACAAAAAAUGGAAUGAUGACUAUUAUUACUAUAGGCAUAGACCCAGAUCAGGGGAAGCAAGGAUGGCGGAAUCAACAGAAUUUAACUGAAGCAAAUCCCAUUCCAUUUGUAAUCUGUAUUUUAUUAUUUUGAUAUGAGGGGGAAGAAAGGAAUGAACUCCAAAAAAGGAAGUUGACCACUUGGGGAGGAGGGGGUGGAGGAGGCAGAACCAGAGAAAAAUAUAAAAUAAAAUAAAAAACAGCUGUUUGGCUUAGGGGAAGAAAAAGUCUUCCCCAGUGACAAAUUUAAAAUCAGAAGGAAAUUGCAUCCAAAGAGAUGGCCAAGUUGAUUGUCUCAGAACUUACAUAAAAUAGUUUGGCAUCAAAGGAGAAGGAAAAGGAAUGUCUCCAAAAUCCAGGAAGCCACAAGGAACCUUCCAGAAACAGAACAAGAAUGAGAGGGAUGUAUAAUGCAGUCCUUUAAGGAGGGGGAAAAACACCCAAGUUUCAAUACAUUUAUUUUUUUAAGCUGCAUUAUUUGUGCAUCUGAUCUGCUGUAUAUCAGCAACAUAUAUUUACUGAUCUGCAGGAAAACAUUAAAGCCAUACGUCCUGUAGCACCAACUGGACCAUUCCCAAUAGCGUUUCAAGAUGGAUUGGGAGGAAGAGCAAAAAUGGAGCCAUGUGUGAAUCUGCUUCUGCCAUAAGAGGAGAACACAUUCUUGGCUUGCUCAGACACCUUCCUGCAGUGUACACAGACUUCAAGUUUUGCAGCACUGAUGGAAUAAACAGGGGAUGUACAAGACUGAAGACCAAUAUCUCAAACUCAGGAACUGAAUGGAAUCCCGUCGCCGGACCCAGUUUUAUAAUAAAACCCAGGCACCCUCUUCUCUACAGUUGGGAAUGGCUGACCUGCUCAUUCCUGUGCUACAUCAGCCAUCACCAUUGCUGCAGUUGACAAGAGGGUGUACUAUAGUAUUCAAUCCAUCAGUCAUCACGUGACCUGAGGAGCCAAUAAUAUCCCAUCCGACCUUACAGACCUGCUAAUCCUUCCUGGCUCUACAGUCUGAGUUAACUGGUUGCUAGCUGCAGGCUGAACUGCAUAUAGACUGCUUGACUCCUAGCUGAACCUCUGUAGGAUGACCGGCUUGCCUGCCUGCCGCUUUCCAGGCUGCUAUUCUUGACAUAUUUUGCAACCCAACACCCAAAACACCAUUAAGUAUCCAAUAAACCAUGCAGUGCUCAUUUUUCUCACGUCUGGACAUUGGGGACUAUUGUAAUGAGAGAGGUGGUGUUGGAUGGAAUUGGUCCGCUCAGUUUUUACCGCAGAAUGGGGAUUAUUGGAGCAUGCCGGUUUCACUCAAGCCUAGUUUGGGCUCAUCACUUAAGCACUGCCUAUAAAGAAACCCAGAGGCAGUGGAAGGUAGCAAAUGGGGCACUGCAUCACCAACUACGUGUUGGCGUCAAUCAAUUCUUGCCUCCCUGCCUUCCUAUUUAUAUCCAGUCCAGGGUCUGGCAUUGCCUGUCAGCUUCCUCCUCCUUAAUCUUCAGGGGCAUUCAGACACAGAGAAUAUCUGUCAGGGACUGGGCAGAGGAGGAAUGGUAGAGACCGCAUCCCCAUUCUGACCCUUCUAGGAAGGAGGAAGAGGAAGACAGUAUAGAUUUACAACAGGGGGUUGAGGGAGCUCACAGCUCAGAGGCAGAUGAGGGGAGAAGCUGGGAAAUCAUGGAAGAGCCAGAACAAUGCCCAGAGGACAGACUGUCAUUAGAAAGCAUUCCAGACCCUCCAACUCCCAGAACCCGGCGAACCUUGAAAGUAGGAGAGCAAACAGCUCAAAGACAGAGGGCAGGUAGCAGCACCCAUAGGAGAAAUGAUGAGAUUGACGAAUGAGGAAGUGGGAGAGACGGGUGGUGGAGAUUCAUUUGGGACAACGCCAUUAUCCAAGAGGCUGGGUUCUAUAGCCUCUCUCUAAAGAUUGAAAUAAAAAAGGACAGAACAGUGGUACCUUGGGUUACAGACGCUUCAGGUUACAGACUCCGCUAACACAGAAAUAGUACCUCAGGUUAAAAACUUUGCUAAGAACACAAAUCGUGCAGUGGUGGUGUGGCAGCAGUGGGAGGCCCCAUUAGCUAAAGUGGUGCUUCAGGUUAAGAACAGUUUCAGGUUAAGAAUGGACCUCCAAAACAAAUUAAGUUCUUAACCCAUGGUACCACUGUAAUAAACUUUUCUUUGUCUUUAUACUUUACUGGGCAACCAGCCAGGAGCCACUGACAGAACCCUGACAAUAUCAGACCCUCCAAGUGUCCCUAUUUUCCAGGGACAAUCUCGGAUUUAUAUAAGCCAUCCCAGUUUCUGAUUUGAUCCUGGAAUAUCCCACUAUUCCUUAGGGCACCCCCAGGGCUUUUUCCCCCUGGGGGUACGCAGGAGUACACAUACCCCUAAACAUUUUGUGAGUCUAAGUUUGGCCUCAUUGAGGGGCAGUAUUUCAGUAUGAGUAGGAAAAUGAGAGUACCCCUUAACAUUUUUUGAGGGGGAAGCACUGGGCAUCCCUGUUUUCAUCAGAGAAAUGUUGGAGGGUAUGAAGUUAUCCAAACCCCCAGGCCAUCUGAAGGCUGAAGUAUAGGGAAGUUUUUUUUAAUGUUUCAUGUUUUAUUAUAUUUUUAUUUAUAUUGAAAGCCAGCCAGAAUCGCUGGGGCAACCCAGUCAGAUGGGUGGGGUAUGAAUAGUAAAAUUGUUGUUGUUGUUGAAUAGGGUAUCCCUAUUUUCAUCGGAGAAAUGUUGGAGGGUAUGGAAUACUGCAGUGGAUUUCCUGAUUAUAAUGCUAGCACUUAUAUGCCAUUUUCCAAGAUUGCUUUCACACCACAUACCUGUUGCAUUAUGGAACUGGGACAUUUUGACCAAUAUACCAGCAUAUCAUGCAAAAUUUCAUUCACAACAAUGAGCGUGGUGUGACACAGUAAUGAACAUCAUUGGACAACACACUUGUUCCCCACCCUUUCGACACAUAAGUGUUUCUGUCCCUGUGAAAUUCACCAUGGCAAACAGCAAGGAAGAACUGGUAUGCCAUUAGCCUAGCAAGAUGUUAAUCUUUUCAGCAGCGUAAGUUAUUACUAAAAUUAAUGGGAGGGGUAGAAUAAGAUUGGGGAAACUAAGAAGACAUGAGAGGAAGUGAAAUAUAAAAGGAACCAAGGAAAGAGAGGAAGAGAAGGUUGUCAAUGAUUGUAUUUUUGAAUGUGAUAGAAUAUGUAAUAUGUAGGUCAUUUUUUUCCUAUUUUCUUAUUACUUUCAGUUUUUUCUUCUGUUGAAAUGUACCAGAAAUGCAAAUAGAAGAAGAAGAAGAAGAAGAAGAAGAAGAAGAAGAAGUGGUAUGCUGGUAUGUCACUCUGAAUUUUGUCACUUUAUCCCCUUGUCUUAAUGUGGUUGCAGACAGAUUUUUUUUUUCUCUGGAAGUGAUUAGCAUGGAAAUGAGUACUACACUUUCACUAGAUUAGUCUAGAUUUCUGGAAAUGGCAUUUAUGCCAUGAGAAAGUUCAAAUAUAACACAGAAAAUAGCAACUAGUGAUUUGCUGGGGAAACGGAAUAUGCUGCCAUGUGAAUUCAGACAUAAUAUUGCUCUUAUGGAACUCAGCAGAGGCAGACAGGGACAAAGCCACUUCCGACGUAGAAAGGAGGUGGGGUUGCAGGCUUCACCCUCCCACCAUGCGCGCGGGGGCUGGCUCUCAGCCUCCGCGCGAUUGAGGGAAUCCCUGAUCGCGUCAUCCCCUGGCCAGCCAAUCGGCUGGCCUGGGGGCGUGGCCUGCUCCAUUUAAUGCAGGGGCGGCCGGGGAUCUCCCUCUUUGCCGCUUCCAGCUGCUCCAGUUUCCCACCCUCCCGCCCUUUAAGGUUUUUUCGUCUUUGACCUUGCUAUGGACCUCGGUUGGUCGCCAUUAAGGGGCCUGGUAGGAAUUUUUCCACUUGGCAAAUUGGCACCAGCCACUUGGUUUUUCACCUACCUUGUAGCAAAUCGUCACAACUUCCUUGGUAUUGGCGGUUAGGCAUUGGUAUUGGUAUUAUUAUGUAGAUGGAAGGGGGGAAGGAAGCGCCAUCACCUCCCCCGCAUAUUGAAGGGUAGUCCGAUAAAGGAUUCUGGGGGCGUGGCCCUGUCCGAAGCCUAGGGAGGUUAGGGCCUAAGGCACGCCCCCUAUCGGUGACCCCCGGGGAGUUCCUAGUUGAUGUGCAUCAGCAGGACUCCCCCUACUGGUGGUUAACCCUUCCCGGACUUCAAGCAAUUGGGCUGAAGCUGCAGUCGAUUAGGACCAAUGCCUAAGCCAAUACCGCUCAUCACCUGUAACCAAUAAAGUUGUGGCCAUAUUUAGCCCAUUAACCUUAAAUAUCUGUGUCAUGUGUCUUUAUUUCCACUGGGGGGAGGCGGGAACUCGCCACGCAAAUACCUGCCACUCCAGACUCAAAUAUUGAAAAAUCUCACAGUUUUGCAGAAACUAAGUUUUGCAAAAUGCUUGCUAUCUCGGCUGAUAAGGGUUAAAAACAAAAAAAAUAUAUAAACUCCGCAGAAUUGGAAUAUUCUUUUCCAUUUCUCCAAACUCCAGAAAUAUUUCCUUGCUAACAGGAAGCUCUUGCUUUACAUAGACACUGGGCUUCAUCAGAAGAAUGUCAGGUUUUGAUUUUGUUUGUUUCUUUUUUUGCAUGCGUGUGUCUUUCUUUAUUUCCCCCUAUAGGCAGAAUACCUUGCCAAUAUUAUAUGUUCCCCUCCACUUUCCGGCUUUAAACUGAGAACCAGAUGUGCUGAAGGAAUAGGAAAACAGUCAGCAUGGACAAUAGAUUUUAUUUCUUAAAAAAACAACAACCAACCCUCCUCCUCCAAUUCAUCUUAGGGUUCACCCUUCCCCACAGCUACUUCCAAAUUAAAAUCCAUAUAACAGCUGAGCCCUUCACAUUUCAUUACGCAGGGGAAAGGCUUUAUUAAAAGCAGGUACAAGCAGAUAGAGCGGAAAAUCCUAGGGUUUGGGGUGCAGUCAUUACUUAUAUUAAGGAUCAUUGCCAAGCAAGCCAUUCUGCAUCUCCUUCUUGGUUCACCUUCCUGGCAUUCAAAAGUACUAAAGGCUCUAUGUAAAUGGACGAAAGGCUUGUAUUCCUAAAGUGAAGAUGGACCCAAUUUCCUUUGGCCUAGAGAAAUUUAAUCCAACCCAGUUUUAUUAAUAAUUGAAUCCUUCUGGGUGCCCCCCCCCCCAAAAUAACAAAGAUAACCAUGGGUAGAGUAAGUUUGCAUUGACAAGUACAGCAGUGCUUUUUAAAAGAGAGUCUGGGGCCUUGCUUACAUCACCUCCAAGUGCUCCUAUUUUCCAGGGACAGUCCCAGAUUUACAGAUGCCAUCCCGGUUUCUGAUUUGAUCCUGGAAUGUCCUUCAUUUCCUUAGCAUGUCCCUGUUUUCAUCAGAGAAAUAUUGGAGGGUAUGGAGUUAGCCGACCCCUGAGCCAUCUUAAAGCAGCCCUGUAUAGGGAAGUUUUCUCGGUUUGAUAUCUUAUUAUGUUUUUAUAUAUGUUGGAAGUCCUACCCAGAGUACGUGGGGCAAUCCAGUCAGAUGAUGGAAUAGGACGUCCCUAUUUUCAUUGGAGAAAUGUUGGAGGGUAGGUGCUUCAUUUAAUAUGUCUCUCUUUAACAGUCCCCGCUGUUCAGAGACUCUGUACUUAGUGGUUGCAGCAAUGAAAUCUGCACUCACGGGCACUCAUCUUUGUUCUUAUUUUACAUCUUCCUCAUUUAGGCCUGGAAUUGAUUAAAUCAUGCACUCCUACAGGGCCUUUUAAGUUGAGGCACCAAGGUUUUAGAAUCCCUUACCCCAGGAGACCCACUUGCCUUCCUUUUAAUGGCAUUCCUAUACGUUCCCACCAACCUAUGUUGUUCUGUGGCACCUUUGAUUUAGUUUUUCCUUCUAUUAUGUAUUUUUUUAAAAAAGAAAAUCCAUUGUCUGGAUUUUAACUCGUUCCCCCCAUUUACUUUUAUAGAUUCUACAUUGCUUUUUUAAGGGACGUGGGAGCUGCUUUGGGGAACGAAAGGAGGGAUAUACAGUGGUACCACACACACACACACACACCCACACACACCCCAUUGGUUCAUCUAACACAUUGAGUUCUCAAUCUCAGCUCGUCCUUUGGUUUUAGCCAUUCCAAUGGAAGAGGUGUAUUGUGAUUGUGGCUGAAGGUCUACCACUUUUGCAUGCCCGACUUUGAUAUUUUGGACAUUUUUGGGUGUGGAAGCUUGCCUCUUCCCUCCUCCUCUACCCACAUAUAUGUACACUGAGAGAUACAAGGAGGACCUAAAACAAAACAUUGCACUCUAGAACGCUCCUUUUCAGAUUUUCAACUACUCCCUCCAAAUCAGCUUUCCAUCGUUUUAAUGAUGAGUAUGUUGGGGUUAGCCUUUGGACUGCUUCCUCCCUUAGAAAAAUUUCCUUUUUUACUUCUCCAAACAUUGAAGUUCACCCCAAUUUUGCGGAUACUUCCUUCUGGCGUGUCAAUGAUGCUAGCGCAGGGCAGGGUUGGUUACAUACAGACUAAGGAUGGGGAAGAAAUUUGGUUCAGUUUGCAUUCUAAUGCGAACCUACCUACCUCACCUUGUCCAAAGCAAUAUCCAAACCAAAACACAGCUGUCCUUCAAAAUUCGCACUUCCCCAAAUUUCGCAGUGCAAUUCUCCAAUGAAAUUAGGAGUGCAAAAUAAAGAAGUAUCUAUUGGGGAAAAUUCACACAAAUAUGCCAACAAACGUUCAUGAGAACUUUUAAAAAAUAACAAUCACAAACUGAUGUUGAAAUGUGGAGAAGUGAGCUUAUUUUUAGGGGGGGGAUGAGAGAAACCAAAGCUGUCAGGUUCAUCCAUCACUAAAGGAAUAGAACACAGAAAAUCGAGUUCCCAGUCUGUAUAUAUGAGAAAAACACCCCAUAACUCAGCAAUAAUUUAUUUUCACAAUAAUCCUGUAAAUUCUCCCUCCCCAAAGACACGCAUACCUUUCUACUGUUUCAGGAAAAUAUGCAAACACUAGCUUACAUUGUUUUAUUGAUGUUUGUUGUUGUCGAUAUGUAAUGAUCACACUGAUUAGGGUAAGUAACACCAAGGAACCUGGUUAUUUAUUUAAAAGAUUGGAACAAACUGAAUAACACUAAGUUUUUUUCAGUGAAUGCUGACAUCUACCGCAGGCCCUUUUCACAUAUUUUGUCCAGUCCUUGACUGGCAGAGUGAAUGUCUGCAUUGUGGAGAAGCAAUUUCAUUCACUGAUUAUUACCUCCGGUCUGAGUGCAGCAAAACAAUCUCCAACAACAUCUGUUAAUGUCAGCAGGAAAGCUUUUCCUAUCCUAAUUGUAUCAAGGUAGGAUGUGAAAUGUGUUGAAUCAUUACAUAAAUUAUAGCUGCCUUGCCGAAUGCAUCCAGUAUUCCGGACAUCACUUAAUGGUCAUUUAUGAGACAGGCGCCCCACUAUAACUGAGCAUUAAUUCAUCAAACAAACUCAGAUUUAUUUGUUAAGAAAGAAAUACUCAGCCACUCAGCAACCUAGAAGCUAGCCAACUGCUUUAAAGCUGGUAGACUGCAUUUCAUCUAAAUGAUUAGAAAGCAAUUUGGGGAUAUUCGUUCAUUUUCUUUCAUAUACUGGCAACAAAAUAACCUACAAUAAAUUUGGUCUCUUAAAUGUAGCAUUUAUUUUAUUUUAUUACUAAUUUCACCACUUCUAUUUCUCCAAAGGCUCGUGAUUUAGCACAUAAACUGAUAUUAUGUUCAUUCCACUUCCACCAAUAGUAGAAGGUUCCAGAACCUUUUUACAGGGUCAGCUUCCUUGUAAUAGUUGGAGCUAGCUGAACUCCACAGCACCAUCAACCCAGAAUCCUAAUAUUCUGGAACAAUGGUUUGUAAAAACUUGAAUUCACAGUGAAAUAUGUUCGAGAUCAAUUCAUUUGUGUGUGUUUGCUUAGGAUUCUUAUAGCUCAGGCAUCUAUAUGGGAUUUCUGGGGCCCAUUGGACUUUACUGUCAUAGUCAAAGCAACAGGAGGGAUCAAACUUAAUUAACAUUCAAUUUAAACAGAAAUUGUCGCUUAGAUCACACGCACCCCUAUUGUGCAUGUACACAUUCAUAGGUUUUACUGUAGUUAUAUAUAUAUAUAUUUCCUUAUUUAGCACACAUGCAACAUUCUUAGGCACCGCCAAAGAGGACACGGUCUUGCAUGAUAUUUGCAGAUGUUAUUGUACAAAUAAUUUUUAUCAUUUAUCUGGAAAAACAAUACAUCUCACAAGCAUGGAGAAAACUUUGUCACCAUUCAUGAACAAGAAGGAAGCAUCAGCAAAAGCUCAGGGAAGCAGUAGCAUUUAGGUAAAGGUAAAGGGACCCCUGACCAUUAGGUCCAGUCAUGGCUGACUCUGGAGUUGCGGCGCUCAUCUCGCUUUAUUGGCCGAGGAGCCGGCAUACAGCUUCCAGGUCAUGUGGCCAGCAUGACUAAGCCGCUUCUGGCGAACCAGAGCAGCACACGGAAACGCCGUUUACCUUCCCGCCGGAGCGGGAAUAUACCUACCGGUAUUUAUCUACUUGCACUUUGACGUGCUUUCGAACUGCUAGGUGGGCAGGAGCUGGGACUGAGCAACGGGAGCUCACCCCGUUGCAGGGAUUUGAACUGCUGACCUUCUGAUCAGCAAGUCCUAGGCUCUGUGGUUUAACCCACAGUGCCACCCACAGUGUCCAAAUAUAGGUAUCAUACAGUGUCCAAAUAUAGGUAUCAUACAAUGGAAGAGGAUGCGCAAACUACUCUAUCAAAAUUGUUCUCUUUUUUCUGAUAGCUGGAAAUGAGAAUAUCAAUCACAAAGUCUCCAUUACUAUAUGUAACAUUUGAGAGCCCAACUCCAAACUGUCUUUUUUAAGCCAAAGGCCUGAGCCCCUUUGUUCAAAUUAGAUUACGAUAUACAACUUGUACCCCAGUGUGCAUCAGCAAACCACCUAAAACCUGAGUAAAGAAACUUCUCCACAACUACCUUCAUCUUGGAUCAAUCACCCAAUGAACUGUGUAAAGCAUUCUAGGCACAUAGGGCUCGGACAACAUGGCCAGAUGUAAGUACCUAGAAUAUGCCCUUUGACCUUUCGGUUAUGCUCCAUUUUGCUCUUGGGCAACUCCUGUUGAGAAGAUCCUGCAGAGCAGAUUUUCUGUGCAUCACCUGCUGUGGGUUCUUGCAGCCCCAGGAAUUCAUGCAGGGCCCAUCUGGUGGGUAAAUAUUAAGGUAACCUGGAGGUUGGCCACGUCGGUUUAAAAUAUGCAGGUGGCAGAAUCAUUAUGCCAGGACGUGCUAUCACAAACACAGUGCUGAAGCCCUCUUAUUGUUUAGUUACCUUAUGUUCUGUGCUGCAUUAACAUAAAGCAAACAGAUCCAGUGGUCCAAGACUCAAUUUUAAUCAUAUCAAAUGGCUCACUCUUCCCAGCUGGAGGCCUCACUUAUAUUAAAAAUGUGUUCAUUUUGUUCAAAAUAUAUUCAUUAUUGGGCACCCCCCCCCUCAAUGCGUGCCUUUUUGUAACUAUUCCUUGUUUGAAAAACUGCAUCGCAAAAUUCAAAUCAGUGUGAAUUUUGGAGCAUGGCUGUGUUUGGGUUCUCAAAUUGCUUCCGAAUGUGAGCACUUGAUUGAUUUGCCUUUAAAUGUGAGCUGAAUCAAAAUUCUCUCUUAUACCUAGCCAUCAUCACAGCCUUAUCCUCCAUGAAUGUGUCUCAUCUUGUUUUAUAGCUAUCCAAGUUGGUGGACAUUGUGGCCUCUUGUGGGAGCAAGUUACUGUGUGCUGUGUGAAAAACUGCAUUCUUUUGUUUGUCCUGAAUCUUUUGAGCUUCAGCUUCAUUGCUAUAUACCUGAAGGAGCGUCUCCACCCCCAUCGUUCAGCCAGGACACUAGGUCCAGCUCCAAGGGCCUUCUGGCAGUUCCCUCACUGCGAGAAGUGAGGUUACAGGGAACCAGGCAGAGGGCCUUCUCGGUAGUGGUGCCCUCCCUGUGGAAUGCCCUCCCUUCAGAUGUCAAGGAGAUAACUAUCUGACCUUUAGAAGACAUUUGAAGGCAGCCCUGUAUCGGAAGGUUUUUAAUGCUUGAUGUUUUUAUUAUGCUUUUAGAGAUCCUGUAAGGCACCCAGAGUGGUUGGGAAACCCAGCCAGAUGGGCAGGGUAUAAAUAUUAAAGUUGUUGUCGUUGCUGUUAUUAACACUUAAGAAAGCUGACAUAGUCACUCAUGAUGGUGGUGGUGAGUGGUUGGGGAGGGAGAAUUGUACCUCUUUUGGUGAGUGAUUCUCACACUGCAAUCCCUCUUAGAAAUGCAACAUUUCAACUUAUUCAGUCUCAGAUGUACAGUUCAAAGGGAACUGUAUUGGGAAACAUUUCCGCAGCAAUAACUGGGUGUGAGAUCAUAGAAAUGGGAAUUAAGAAACAUUUUCGACUCGGAAUGGCAUUUUCAACUUGGAUUCGGCACAUCUGUCUUGUGCAAAACCAGACUGGGCCGCGAGAGUUCUGGUAGCACAAGGAUGGAAGACUGAAGAAACCCCAACUAAAGAAUCAUGGCAAGAAAAAUUGAUGGACUAUGCAGAACUGGCAAAACUGACAUAUAAGCUAUGGGACAAGGAUAACUGUGACUUUAAGGAUGAAUGGGAACCCUUUACAAAGUAUCUGAAGAAGCAACAAAGCGAACUGGACUCCUUGGCAGGUUUUGAAUAAACAUUCACAAACUUUUUAUUGAUAAUAAUCAGCUAAAUAGUUUGAGGAUCUAUACAACUUUGUAACAUGCAGAAAACAGCAUUCUUAGAGAAACCAAAGACUGGAACUGAGGAAGUCGGGGUGGGGUGGGGGUGGGUGGGUUUUUUGUGGGGGGGGGAGGGAGGAAAAUGGGGGGAAACAAGGAUGAUAUGUUUUUGGAUAAUAUGUCUUGUUAUAAUUUUGAAUUUUAAUUUUUUUUAAAAAAAAAAACCAGACUGCAGGUUUUGUGCAUUUAUAGCAGGGGUAGGGAACCUGUGACCUUCCGGUCAUUGUUAGAUACCAGCUUGCUUCAGCCCCAGCCAGCAGCUUGGCCCAUGGUCAAGGAUGGUGGGAGUUGUAGUUCAGCAAAAUCUGGAGUGCAAAAGAUUCCCCACCCCUUGCAUAGAGCAAUGGGAAACAUUACAGGUGACCGUAGUCUGUAGCACUGAACUCUAACGUAUUUCUUGGCACACUUUUGCAGAGCUGAACCUGGCAUGGUUUGGCGUGGAUACUUUGGGCCUGGUUGAAAGUGCAUCAGGAAAACUCAACUAUAGCAGAUGCUGUUGUGCACAAGGCCCUGCACCAUGACACAUUGGAGCAACUUCCAAUGGCUUUUGUGAGUUCUUUAAAAAAAAAAGUUACGAAUAAAAGAUGUCAUCUGUUUAUAAUAUGCAAUAUAAUCCAGGGAGAGUUGAAAAAGCAAAUGUUUUCUGGCGAGCAAUGCCUUUCGGGCCAUCUCAUUAGCUCCACAUAAAAUGAAAUCAAUAUUUUUUCAUCACACUUUAAGACUUUCUUUUCCCUCUACAAAAAAUAAUUUAAUAGCCCUGAAUUGUUUUACAACUUCCACCUCUCCCCCCCUACCCGCCACAACCUCCCCUGCUUUCAUACGACUUUUGUCUUCACUCCGGAAACAGACAUUUAAUGAGCUUGUUUGCCGCUCGCACCUUCUGCACAUGGUGAAAAGAUAGUUCAACUGCCCUGGUUUGCAUGCCAACAGCUGUUGAUGAAAAACAGGUCCACAUAUUUGAGAAGAAUGAUGAAUGGAAGCUCAUGCUUGCCUUUUGCUAAUGGCCCAUCAGGAAAAUACUUCAUCUUCUGUUAAAAAAAAUAAAAUAGAAAAAAAUCUUGCCACAACAGGAUAGUUUGCUUAACUCACUGGGGAUGUAAAUAGCUGAAACUAAUCCUCUAGUCUUAAAAAAAUUAACUGUAAAAAAAACCACAACCCUUUGCAUUUAUUUGUUUGGUCUCCUUUACAAUUCGCAUAAUCAGAAGCUUCCUCUUGUGAUAUUUGAAAUCUAUAAUCAUUGCUGACAAUGAGGUGUUCAAAUUAAAUUAUGCAAUGACCCCUGAACAAAACACAGCUGCAACGGAGCGAAAUGAGCACAAAGGAAGAAGGAGAGCAAUUUGUAUGAAGCGAGGUUGGGUUUCAGAGAACUUCCUGGUACUGUCAGUCUCCAACUUUCCCCACAAAGGAAUUAAACAGUUGUGCUUUGGGCCAAGGGCCAAAUGAGACAAUAAACAUGUAGCUGCCAUCAAAUCCAGCAGUCACAUGUCUGGUUCCUCCCUCCCAUCUAUAAAGUCUAGUAGAAGUUAUCCAUGCCCUCAGGGAAGGGCCAUAAUUCAGUGGCAAAGCGUUUGCUUUGUGGGCAAAAGGUUUGGAGUUCAAUCUAUCGCAUCUCCAGGUAGGACUGGGAUAUUUCUCUGCCUGAAUCCCUGGACAACUGCCACCAGCCUCUGUGUAGAUUAAGCAGGACAGCCCAAUGGAAAAGGAAAAGGCUGGGCAUAACAAGACUUUUAUGUUGGGG